rnacentral:lncRNA from 1 species
UGGUUGAGCAAUACAGAGCUACUAACCGUGAGCGAUUCCUGGACACAAAACGGUAAGAUGCACUUGGCAGUGAGGUUUGCAACAUCUACUAAACUUAGGUGCUUAAGGUGCAGGGAAGACAAGCCUUCAACAAAGUAAAGAUCAGGGAGGCCAUUUAGACGUAAUGAUUCAAGGGAGGUCAGGUGGCCAAUCGAUAAGGAUGGGGAGCUUCUGCAAACAUAAAUGGAAAGAUGUUUCAGGUGUGGCAAGCCAUUACUGAAUGAAUCAACUGCAAGAAUGCAGCCACUGAUGUUGAGGUCUGCAGCAAGGUUCAACGGCAUUAGUUCUGCUCCACGUGCUAGCUCUAAAAAAGGACAAUCCAAACAGUAAAAAGAGGAAAGAGAUGGAGCAGCACGUAAGCCCCCCAGUGAUUUGAGACACAAACAACCCAUUACAACCAAUAUGUCAAGCUUUGUCAAAUGCUCAAACACCUUUUCUGAUGGAAGUGUAGUUAAUGCCAUAUUAUAUUCCAAUCUUAAAGUUCUCAGUGAAGUGAGGCCACCAAGGCAAAUAGCUAAAGCUUCAUCUGUAAUACUGCAUGAAGAAAGAGAAAGUUACAGAGUCCUGACGGUAGAACCAAUGGCAUCUCCAUGGUCCUUCCAUAAAUGAAUCUUAUCCUCUGUUCAUGGCAAAAGAGCCAUGCCUUGAUGAUGUUUUCUUUCAUCCAUACUUUAUCUUCACUUUCCUCCAGACCACUUUCAAUAAUUUGAAGAUGCUUUGAUAUUUCAUCAUCCAUCAUCAAUGUCAUCAACUGCUUCAGAAAUGAAUAGUCUUUCCACAGUACAUUCCUAACUUCUUCUCCUGAAUCCACCUCCCACAUCAAUGCAAGUUUAGAUGCCAGGUCGUCUGCCUUCAUUAUUAUAUUUUCCCUCAAGUCAUAAUGUCCUAGCUCAUUGUUGGUGAUAAACAUAAGCAGUGGGCACCAAUCAAUUGAUAAAUCUGUAAGGCCUGCUGGAAGAUUAGAUAGUUCCUUCAAAUUUGGAACAAAGUUUAUAUGCAACCUAGAGCAAUUCCGAAGGAGCUCUGUGUCUGGUGGUAGGCCUUCUAGCAAACUGCAAUUACUAAGCUCAAAACUUUCCAAAUUCUCAAAAUAGGAUCGCUCUAGUAACCACCCAGGAUAUGUAUCAGAUCUGUAACCUUCGAUUGUGAGCUUACUCAGUUGGGGUGGUGGUCUCAGACCUUCUAGAAUAUCCAUUGCAUCCAUGCCAUUCUCGGAACUCCACUCAAAUGCUAACUCUUUAAGGCGACUUUUCAGAUAUAGCUUCGACUCUACGGCUUCAUCCUUUCCAAUGACAUUCUCAAGAUUUUUCACUUUUAAACUGCCACCAAGCUCAUUCAAGUCCUUCAACUGUCGCAACUCAUAGCCUUGCUUCUUCUGUACAGAAAAGACAUAAAUGUGUUGUAGCGACGUUAACUUACCUAUAUUCAGAAUUUGGCAAAUAGGCUUUUCAAUCGCGAAAUCAUUCACGUACGCUCCUAGAUGUCGUAGCUUUCUUAAAUUGCAUAGUUUGUCAGGCAAAUUCUCCACCAUGUGGUUUAACCAAAGUAAUUGUAAGUGGUAGAGAGUACAUAAUGAUGUAGGCAAUUCAGAAACUAACGUCCUGAUGAGGUUCAAAUACCGGAGGUGCUUCAGCUCACCAAUAGAUUCUGGCAACUUGCUGCUGCUGUAAAAUGACAGAGACAAUACACGCAGUUUUCUUUGGUUCCGUAGCAUGCCAUCAAAAAUAUCACUUGGACCAUCCAUUAGCGGAUCGAUGCAGAUAAUAGUGCGUAAAUGAUAUAGCUUGCAGAUAAUUUGCUUAUGCUUUUGCAUACUUUGAACAUGAACAGAUAGAUGUCGAACAGUGCAUGGUAUUUCUGUCACAUUAUCAUCUUCUAAUCUAAAGCAGUCUUCCCUAGAGAGUGACUCUGCAAAAUCAUGAAGGAUAUCAUGCAUGACAUAGUACGAAUCACAAUACAUUUGAGAAACCAAUUGGAAGAAAGAUCCAGAGACCAUAUCAUUGAAGUAAUCCAUCCCAGCCUCUUCCAAUGUUCUCCUACUCAAAUUGCAUGAACCAACAAAUCCUUCUGCCACCCAAAGGUGAACCAACUGAUUAGGAUCAUAUCUAUGACCUUUUGGAAACAAGCUGCAAUACAAGAAGCACCUCUGCAGACGUGGAUCUAACUUCUCGUAACUCCACAACAGAGAUGUGAAGGGAUCACUUAAAUCUCCAAUCUUUAGAGCAGCUUUCCAUUCAGCAAUAUCCUUUUUCCUGCACAAUCGAGAACCCAGAACUUUUGCUGCCAAAGGACAUUGUCCAAGCCUUUUAGCAAUCUCCACUGCAGUGUCUUCCAGCUUCGUGCGUAAUAGUUGGUCUUUGAUUUCUGCUCCAGAGAAAGCAUGGUGUUUAAAAAGAGCCAAAAACUCAGUAUCAUCCAUGUUUUUCAAAUGAAUGACAUGUUCUUGUUCACAACAAAUAGCGGCAGGAAGUGUUUUACUUCGAGAAGUCACCAAAACUUUCCUCCCUGACUGUUUAGAGACUAAUGGAGCAAGGAAUAACUCCCACUCUGUCUCAUUAUGAGAUUUUUCAAACCAAACAUCAUCCAAGACAAGCAGGAAUUUCUGUGACUCUUGUAGUAUAUCACGUAAUUUGCACUGGAGAGUAUCGAGAUUAUCAACACGUGGGCACUCUCCCUUUUUUGCAGACUCUAUAAUCUCCCUUGUGUGACGAUGCACAUCAAGUUUGCGUGAGAUGCACACCCACAUCCUGAUAUCAAAGCAUUCUUCUAUCCUUUUGUCAUUAUAGACAUACUGUGCUAAGGUGGACUUCCCCAUUCCUCCCAAUCCAACAAUGGCCAAACCCGAGUACUUAGCUGAGCUUGCCUCAGCAGUUGUUGUCUUGCCGAGAAGAAAAUCUACUAUACGAUCACGAUCCCUGUCGCGACCAAAAACCUUGGAAGUGGGAAGUGAUGUGGUUGUGGGAACACUGGUAGGUGCUGCAGCUGGCCACUCGACGGUAUUGCCAUGUGGCAAACCAAGAAGAUCUCGAAGUUGUUGGGCUUCUGUCAGGAUUGCUUUGAGCUCGUCCAUCUUGCUAAUUAGCCUUCUGUUUUGAGGGAGCAAGUUCCGUGCCCUGCUCAUAGCAGCAUGAAAAGGCUUCAUGACAGUAGUUGCAGUGGAGGAGCUUCCAUGCUCUCCCAGCAGGAGACUUUUUUCGCUCUUGGCGUUGCCCUCAAGGACAUUGUACUCAUGCUCGUCCAACAAGUCCUCGGCAUCAUAGUAGGCUUCUUUGAGACGCCGGAGCCAUGCCUCCAGUAUGCCCCUGUGGGGGCUCUUCUGGGCCGCUUGAAUCACCAGCUCGAACUGUGGCAGGACAGUGGCUUCUAGUCGUUGGAUCUCACGCACCAUGUCCACACUGAGGUAAGCUGAAGCUUUAGUAAGAAGCUCGUUGACAAUCGGCGAUGCUGCCCACCUUAAGCCGGCGAGCGCCAAGUCGGCCAUGAAAUUCAGUAAGAAGCUUUUUUUUUUCUUUUUUCUCUGCAGACACAUAAAAUUAAUGAAUCUGAAUGAAAAAAAUGAAGCACAAACCAAUUAUUUUUCUUUCUCGCCAGAUCCAGCAACACAAAGGGGAAAUAGUAGCUAACACAGCAAGCGAAAAAAGUGGAGAUUGGAGAUCUUACACGAAGUAAAAUAAAUCAAGGGCGUAUGGAGUAGAAUCUGGAACAAGCACAGCACAGCACAGCAAGGAGGGAAGCAGCUCCGUCGGGCAGGGAACGGAGGAAUACCGGAUGGUGUUGCUGAUUGCUGGUGAUAGAUGAUUUGUUUUUUAUGUAGAAGAGACCGAAGGUGCCGUAGACUGCUGAGGGUCUACUGCUCGCUGGGAAAGGAAGCAGCAUGGAAAGACAAAGGUGAACAAGCGGUGAACAAGCGGAGUAGACUAGUCUAUGGAUUAGGACUGCUCUGAAUUAUUGUUGGGAGCUAGUGUAUCGAUUGGGACUGCUCUGAAUUAUGCAGUUCGAGUGAAUAAACACAGACAAAGAAAGCUUUUGGAGCUUUCCUUGGAGUCCUCCCCUAUUUUUUUUAGACAUGGUUGUACGUUGCAAGAGGAGCUGAGCUUGAUAUGAAAGUAGAAACGAAAUCUCCCAUGAGUUGGACCAACAAUUCAUCUGGCCAUAAAAAUUGAGAGCUUCCAGUACAGACCAAAAUCCUAAAAAAAACUAUCUCUUUCAUUUCCAAUUUGCAUCCAAUCCUUAAGGCAUAGCAGUUCCUCUGCGCUUUCGGUCCUAUUUGGUUCCACUUUUCUAGAAUGAUAGAGAUACACUCAAUACCAGGAACCUUCUGAUGAGGAAAAACAAGGCACUGGAUGAUUACAGUUGUGUUCCGUGUAAUAGUGGCUGUGUGGAAACAAGCCUCCACGUUUCCUUUGAAUGCAGUUUUGGCUUACUACUUUGUGCGUUUGAACAUCUUUCGGGUCUCAAAAUAAAUUUUCAUAAGAGCCAACUUUUCUGUUAUGAUGCUGCUAAAGAACGAGAAUUGGAAUACUCUAAAAUUUUUGGAUGUAAUAAAGGGCAUUAUCCUUUCAAAUAUCUGGGUAUUCCAAUGCAUCACAGAAAGCUUAGUAAUGAAGAUUGGAAUUAUAUCAUAAAAAGAUUUAAGAAAAGAGUUAGUGGGUGGAAAGGGAAAAUAUUGUCUGUUGUUGGUCGACUAGUGCUAAUUAACUCCAUCUUAACAAGUCUUACGAUGUUUAUGUUGUCCUUCUUCGAAAUUCCAAGGAAGGUUCUAGAGAAAUUAGAUCAAAUAAGAUCUCGUUUCCGUUGGAGCCUGCGCUGAAGGCAGACACUUCAAGGAUGUUUGCUGCAGGCGACUCUCAAAGAAGCCUACGCAACAAGAAGAAAAGACGACGCUCCAAACGGGGCAAAGGAUCGUUGGGGUCUGGUGCUGGUCCAGGCUCUAUGUCCCCGGUUUCCUCUGAUACUGCUGACGCCUCCAGAAAGGUCCAUAGGUCGGCGCUGAGGUCUGGAGGACAAAUGGAGAUAUUCAAGAAGUCAUUGCCUUCUUGUGUGUUGGAAUUCACCACUGAGAUGACGCGUGAAGAGGUAUUUCUCCGCCGUGCCCUGUUCGUAACAGUUGUUGGGACUAGGCCGGAGGUGCUAGGAGUUGAAGUGUUAGAAGAAGUCGCACAUAAUUUUGAGGUCCAUAUUGAAGCCAUGCGGAUUCAUCAAGUCCAGCCAGAGGAUUUCCUCUUGAUUCUACCUGAUGAAGAAACUGCCUCAAGGGUGCUUAAUGAUGGCAAGGCAUAUAGGGGGCCUCAUUUUAGUUUGAAGUUCAAGCGCUGGUCGAGGUUUACUCAUGCAUCUUCGACGAUCAUGUCUGGUAUGGUGGAGGUUGAGAUUAGAGGAAUCCCAGAGCACGCUUGGUUUCGUUCUACGGCAGAAAACAUCUUGAGAGACUCUUGCUGGAUUUCGGACGUGCAUCCGGAUACUUUGCAAAAGAAAGAUUACUCAGCCUUUCGGGUCAGUGCUUGGUGCUUUGAUCCUGGAAGACUACACCGUGAUAUGGACCUUAUCAUCGUCGAGCCUGGAUUGCACGCACUUGAGAAGAGAUGCCUCACUUACAAGAUCAGUGUGAGCGCUACCCUGUCAGAGCUAUCUGCGGCGGACCUGGGGCCUCCACCGCCCCCACCUCCGGCGUACGACAGGAGACCUGAUGGUGAUGGCGGCGGCGGCGAGGACCAGGACCCCCAGUCUCGUCGUUCGAACGGGCCCCUGUUCCAGAGGCGACCGGUUCAUCUUCGCCUGGGCUCGCAGCUGCCGUCGGGACGCGGUGCGGCAACUUUGGCGCCUCGGGCGGCGUUUCCCGCGGCGUCCCUGUUCCUGCGGCGCUCGGUUCAUCUUCGCCUGGACCCACAGAUGUCGUUGGGACGCGGCGCUGCAACCCUGGCGCCUCGGGCUGUGUUUCCACCGCCGUCAACGACCUCGGGUAGGGAAACAGCAUAUCCGGUGAGAGAUCCUGAUCGAGAUGCGCUGCCUUCCUUGCGCAUUGAAGAGACACCGGUUUCCAAGGAGCCCCAGGAAGACAGAGAGACUACCGUGACAGUUAUGGUGGGACAGAUCUCCACGGGGAAGAUAAACAGUCCCCGGAUUGAUUGCGACAGGACUGUUGGAACGUCGUCUGUGUUGGUGGGCUCACCCCGGAACCUGAUUGGGCCGCCUGAGAUGGCCUGGAAUGCCUCGGUCUCGCCCCUUCGGCCAACUGGGCCGCUUGAGACAUGGCUCCCAAGGCCUGUCUCGCCCCAGCCUUGCCCGACGCUAGAGACGAGGCUUCCAGCGCCGGUCUCGCCCCACUGUCUACCUGGGCUCCUGAACACGACGAUGACUGGGGCUGUCUCGCCCCACAUUCGAGUUGGGAAGCUUGAGAUCGUGCCUUCUGUGCAUGUCUCGCCCCGACCUCGAGUUGGGCCGCCAGAGAUGACCCCAGAUGAUGUCUUGCCAAUUGAAGAUACUGGGACACUGAAGAUAGCCUUGCCUGCGCCUGUCUCACCUCAGCAUCCGCCUGGGUCGCUUGAGACAGCUGCAUCCUUGCAGACAGAGCCAACUAGAAUGCUGAAGGUCUAUUACCGCAAAGGGUCAAAAGCAUGUCAAUUUCACGACGGCCAACAAGAUGGAACAGGAAGGGAGUUGCUGGCAAUGGAGAAUGGGCAUACAACUGAUCCAAGACCUGAUACCCCCACAGCCAUGGGUGCUCCGCUAGCUGCGACAAGAAAAGAAGAGUUCCUCAACAAAAUCUGUAGAAGACCUGACGCUUGUUUGCUGAUACCAAAUAAAAACAGCAAGAAAGCAACUCCUCCCUCUCCAACAACAUCUGCUGCUGCGCCAAGACGAAGCCGACGUGUCGCUGGAGCUGGAGUGGAAUUCAGCAUGCAAGAUUGGGGAGGCAGGGCCACCAAAAAAGCCAUGAAAGCCCUGUAGAUUAUUACUGAAGAUGAAGGCAUCAGUCAGGAAGCCCUCAAGGCUUAUGCAGAGCUUUUCAAGCACCCACUUUCUCAGCUCCAGGUGGAGGCCUUGUCCGCUCUUUUCGGUUGGCCCACGCCACCAGAAGGGCCUGUUUGAAGCCUAGGUUCCUCCCCCUGUUCUUUGUGGUAGUGUUCUGUAGACUGUUUUCCAUGAAUCCAAACAAAAUUUUAUUCUGGAAUGUGAGAGGAAUGAACUCCUCAGUACGGCAAGACUCAGUCAGAGAGCUUGUGGACUCUUCCCAAGUGGAUGUGGUUUGUGUCCAGGAAACUAAAAUGCAGAACAUUUCAACAAGAACUAUCCUCUCCAUGCUCGGUGCUGAGUUCUCUGAUUACGUCUACCUGCCAUCAACAGGUGCAAGUGGUGGCAUCUUGAUCACUUGGAAAAGACAUAUAGGUCAUACAGGGCAACAAAGAAUCGACAUUCGACAAUCACAGUGUUUCAGUCCAGUUGUGCAUGGAGCAAGGGCAGGCUUGGUGGCUUACCUGUGUGUACGGCCCUCAGGGAGAUGAUGGAAAAAUCCUUUUUCUUCAGGAACUCAGAGAUGUCAGAACAGCCUGUGCUGGCCCUUGGUUGGUGGCUGGGGAUUUUAACCUCAUCUAUAAAACAUCAGAUAAGAAUAACUCCAAUUUUAAUAGAGCCAUGAUGGGUCGUUUCAUGGAUUUGAUCAAUGACCUUGGCCUCAAGGAGAUUCCGCUGUUAGGACGCAAAUUCACUUGGUCUAACCAGCAAGAUAACCCGGUCCUUGUUAAGCUCGAUAGAGUGUUUUGUACUGUGGAUUGGGAGCUAACCUUCCCCAGAGUUCUUCUUCAUAGUGCUGCGUCACUUGAUUCGGACCACUGCCCUUUGCUUCUGGGACUCAGUGACAAUAGGCCUGGAAAACGGCUUUUCCAUUUCGAAUCCUUUUGGACCAAGCUUGAAGGUUUUCAGGAGGAAGUGCAUUCAGCAUGGAACUCAGUCGAAGCUGUCAGAUGCCCUUUCCAGACUCUAGAGAAGAAGCUAAAGAUGACAGCAAGAAGACUGCAAGGGUGGAGUGACAAGCAGGUUGGACAUGUAAGAUUGCAGUUGGCUUUGGCAAAGGAGUUGCUGCAUAGACUGGAGAUGGCACAUGAUGAAAGACCACUUACCCCGGCAGAGAUCUGGCUUAAAAACAGGCUCAAAAAACAAUCUUUGAUGUUGUCCUCUUUCAAGCGAACCAUGGCAAGAUUAAGGUCAAGAAUUUCAUGGCUCAAAGAGGGGGAUGCGAACACAAGAUUUUUCCAUAUUCAUGCAAGGCAUCGUAAGAGGAAGAAUUGUGUGGCCAUGUUGGUUGAUGGAGAUCGUAUCCUAACCAACCACUGUGAAAAAGCAGCAGCAGUGGAUCAGUUUUAUACAAACCUCAUUGGGCAGUGUGGAAACAGGGAAAGGACUAUUGAUUUGGAUGCCCUUGGACUGUCUAGACAUAAUCUGGAGGAUCUAGACUCCCCUUUUUCAGAACAAGAGGUUUUGGAAACCAUUAAAGGCUUGCCUUUGGAUAAGGCCCCAGGGCCGGAUGGAUUCACAGGGCGAUUCUAUAAAGAUUGCUGGGGAAGUAUUAAAGCAGAGGUUAUGGCUGCAGUUAGGGCAGUUUGGAGCAGGAAUUUCAACAAUUUCUACAAGCUCAACACGGCUUUUAUUACCUUGAUACCGAAAAAAGAGGGGGCAGAGCAGGUCAAAGACUUUAGGCCUAUUAGUCUUGUGCACAACUUUGCAAAACUGAUCACCAAGAUUCUUGCUAACCGGCUGGCCAAAAGGCUCAAUGAGUUGGUCUCUCCGAUUCAAAGCGCAUUUAUAAAGGGAAGGUUCAUCCAAGAUAAUUUUAUGUUGGUACAACAAACUGCAAGGUUGUUUCACCAGCAGAAAUUGCCUCGCCUACUCCUCAAACUUGAUAUCACUAAGGCCUUUGAUUCUGUGGCCUGGCCAUUCCUAAUUGAAGUCAUGCAGCAGAUUGGUUUUGGUCAUAUCUGGAGGGAUAUUGUUUGUGGGUUAUUGGCCUCCUCCACUACACAAGUGCUGCUCAAUGGUUCCCCGGGGGAACGUUUAGCCCAUAGGAGAGGGCUCAGGCAGGGAGACCCCCUCUCCCCCAUGUUAUUCAUCCUUGUUAUGGAUGUUCUUGGCCUCUUAUUCGCUAAAGCUGAAGAAGCAGGUUUGCUACAGCAGUUAUCUAGAAGAAAGAAGCUCCAUAGGAUUUCUAUUUAUGCAGAUGAUGUGGCUGUGUUUUUACAUCCCACUGCUGAAGAAACUUCUAUCACUCUAGACAUUCUGCAACUUUUUGGAGAUGCCUCUGGCCUCAUAAAUAAUGUGCAGAAAUCAAAUGCAUAUCCUAUUCAAUGCUCCGAGGAGAAUUUGAUGGAAGUUCAGAGUUUGCUGCCUUGUGAGAUGGCAACCUUCCCCUGCAAAUAUUUGGGGCUCCCCCUAUCCUUGCAUAAACUUUCUCGGCAGCAGUUCCAGCCCUUUGUUGAAAGAAUUGCAGAUCAACUCCCUAAUUGGAAAGCUGACUUAAUGUCUAGAGCAGGAAGGAGAAUUCAGGUGCAACAUGUUUUCACAGGCAUGACAAUUUAUUUAGCAAUGGCAAUUGACAUCCCCCAAUGGGCCUUAGAUGCCAUUGAUAAGAUAAGAAAGGGUUUUCUUUGGAGAGGCACAAAGGAAGCAAGGGAGGACACUGUUUGGUUGCCUGGGGAAAGGUGGGUCGUCCCCUUCAGCUGGGAGGCUUGGGAAUCUCUAGUCUCCCUGAGCUUUGUUGGGCUCUCCGCAUGAGAUGGCUGUGGUUGCAGAAAACAGAUUUGGGGCGGCCUUGGGCAAGUCUUCCCAUACAGGUCCCAAACAAAGCUAGGGCUUUUUUCUCGAUGGCUCUUGUUUCUAUGGUUGGGGAUGGUUCAAACACCUUGUUCUGGAAUGAUAGAUGGCUGCAUGGCACUCGAAUCGCUGAUAUUGCCCCUAGCCUGCACAAGUCAAUUCCAAGAAGAAUUGCUAACAAAAGGACGGUGAAAGAAGCACUUGUAAACAGGAAAUGGAUUUCAGAUAUUAAGGGGGCUCUUACAGUAAGAGUCUUGGUUGAUUAUCUAAACCUUUGGGAAUCCCUUUCAGGGAUUGAGUUACAGCCAAACAUAAGGGAUAAACAUGUUUUCAGCCUUGCUGCAGAUGGUAAAUACACAGCGAAAGCAGCUUAUAAUGGCCUGUUUUUAGGAUCUGCUUCUUUUGAUCACUACAAAAGAAUCUGGAGAUCUUGGGCCCCCUCAAAGUGCCGUUUUUUCAUUUGGUUGGUGGCACACAACAGAUGCUGGACUGCUGAUCGUUUGGCCAAAAAGGGCCUGAAUCACCCGCAAAGGUGUCUUCUUUGUGACCAGGAAGAUGAAACCAUGAACCACCUUCUUAUUUCCUGCGUCUUCACAAGAAUUUUCUGGUAUAUGCUCCUAAGGAAAUUUGGGUUACAUGCCCUGGCCCCACAGCCUGGCCUCACAUCCUUCUUAGAGUGGUGGAAAGGGGCUGUUGAGGCAGUGCAGGGAAUGGUCAAGAAAGGGCUGAAUUCUCUCAUCAUGUUGGGUGCCUGGAAGAUAUGGAACCUCUGCAAUAGAUGUGUGUUUGAUGGAGAGACCCCCAGCCUCUCUCGAAUCCUACAGCAGGCUGAUGAGGAGAGAAACCUUUGGGAGCUAGCAGGGGCCAAGGGUCUCUCCUUUUUGGCUGCUCCUUUGUCGGUAGCCUGAAUUCCUAAUGGAUUUGUUUCUUUAUGCUUGUUUCUGGCCUCCGUAAGGAGAGCUAUUGUACUAUGUAUUAUGUUUCUCCUCUUCUUAAUAUAAUUAAAGGCGCAGUUCCCCUGCGCUUUCGAGAAAAAAAAUAGUUUGCACACCAAAAGACAUGGGAGGAUUAGGAAUUAUAGACCUUGAUCUUCAAAAUAAAUGUCUACUAAGUAAAUGGCUUUUCAAGUUAAUUAAUGAAGAGGGUACGUGGCAGUCAAUUCUUUGUAAUAAGUACCUAAUAAAUAAAACAAUCACCCAGGUGGAACACAUGCCUGGAGAUUCGCAUUUUUGGGCAAGCCUGUUAGGUGUUAAGGAUAUCUUUGGAAAAUCAAAAUUCCUCUUAAGAUUAAAAUCUUUAUGUGGUACCUUACAAAUAAUUUAGCCAUAACAACUGAUAAUUUAGUGAAGAAACAAUGGAAAGGCUGCCUACGAUGUGUAGCAUGUACGUUAAAUGAAUCCAUUCAACAUCUGUUCUUCGAUUGCCAUAUUGCUAAAUGUGUUUGGCGUUGUAUUCAAUUUGCGUUUAAUAUUUCACCUCCUAGGAGCAUUGAUCAUUUAUUGACACAACGGCUUUAUGGGGUUGAUAUGAAACUUAGCAACAAAAUUUGGUUUGGAGCGAGUGCUAUAUGUUGAGCGAUAUGGCUUUGUCGAAAUGAUGUGUUUUUUAACAAUGCACAAGUUCCUACUCCUACGCAGGUACUUUUCAGGGGUACAUACUGGAUGAGACAAUGGAUGCUGCUGCUGAAAGAAGAAGACGGAUUACAAGUAAAACAGGGAUGCAAGCUGCUUGAAGUCGCAAUGAUGUAAUUUUUUGCUAAAAAUGGCUGGAACUUUAGUAAUCGAUUGUGCUUGUAAUCUGUAAUGUAGUGGUGGCAUCUAUGUUUCGAGUAUGGUUAUGUUCCUGUUUGAACCCAGAAUAUUUGGUGUACUAGACAGCUAUAUGCAUAUUGUCAUGCAGAGGCUGGAAUAAUCAAGUUAUUCCCUUUUCUUAAAAAAAUGCUGGAACACAAUUCCCAUCCAACGGGAUCGGAGUCUACCACCUGUAGUCUCUAGACAUGAUGAUUGAAGCUUUGGUUAUCUAAUAUUCAGAGAAAUAGAUGUUACAGACGGUUAGAUUAUUUGGAGUACUUGCAAUUUAUAGCAUUAUCUUUGACAAUGUUUUCGUUUCAGACUUUGUCAGUUUCAGGACAUCUAGACUUGGCACAUUGAAUAAUAGGCUACUGUGCCAAACCUCAAUCGCCGUGGAAUCCUCAAGAUCCAAUCAGCAACAACAAGUUUCCUGCGGCAAUCAACAGAUGUGUGCAAGAGGGCCUGCAAUUUUUUUGCAUGACACGUUAAUUAGACAGCAACAUUCACAUUUCGAAACAUAUAAAAAAACAUCACUGCACUGAACAAGCUGGCAAGCUCAAUUUCAACACGGAGAGGUACGAAUCUGAUAAGACAGUGUACUUCCCAACCAUAGCGAUCCUCACCUAAGAUAAUCACCGUUACUUGCAUGGAACUAACAGUGCCACGAAGGGUGUCAAAUAUAGCAGCUCUUGCAACCCAUCCGUCUAACUUUGGCUCUCGGGCAAUCCUGGAAAUCCUAAAACCGCAUGAAGUAGAUGCAGUCAUCGGCUAGCAGCAAGAAAUAUCGUUGCCCUCUGUGCGUCAGUGGAGUGAUUAGCCUGCAAAGGUGACCGUGGACGAGCUCCAGCGAGAUACUUGCUUGCUGCCUUAGGAAAGGAGCUUCCUCGGCUUCCCCACCAACCAUGUAUCUGCUACCUUGCCAUCCACCCGAGCACGUCGAAGCUCAGGUGCUCAAAGUGGGCAUGCCGCAACCACGGCUCCUCGUUGUGCCACGCCACCAAGCACACUAGCUGCACGAUGUUCAGAUCAACCAGGUACAGGCGGUUCUUGGAGCACUUUAUCUUGGCGAGGAGAAUAUGCUCUGUUAGCAACCAAUCGGGAGAACCAGAGAGAGCUAGAGGGACGAGGUGGAUUUGGGAAGAAGAACAGGAGAAGUGGACGCGACGAAGGUAAUUGUUGUAAGCUUUCUGUUGUUCCAUGAUUCACCCUCUCCCAAGAGUUCGCUUAUAUGCGACGCUUACAAACCAGCGCUUACAACCCGGCCCAACCCGGCCAUCAGACAACCCACUCUGGCGGUCUGGCCCAGACACACAAAUAUUGUCGCGCCUCAAACGCUGGAGUCACGCCACGUCGCCUUUGUCAGUCUUCAGCUCCAUCGUCUCCUUCUCUUGUGGAUCAUCAGUGCUGACAUUCCCCGGGUCUUCAAAUGCGGCUUGUCCCCAAGCCGACGCGUGCAGGGAGCGUUCCUUCAAAGCUGUAGCAUCCUCCUAGGUGGGCAAGGCAGGAUCCAUGCCGGACCAUGCCAGUUUGACCUUCAUAGGGCUGAAAACCCCAAUCUUACGGCAAAUGGCCUCUGUUGUUUCUUUGUUGUCUCUUGUUGCAACCAUAACAUGUGUCAAUUGAUUUGUGGACUUCUUCUCGGGGAGCUGACAAUUCAUACUUGUAAGCAAAACCCAAACAACUCAAGGCACUGGCAGACAUGUCAUGGAGUGUAAAUAAUAUGAGUGCCUUGGCACCAUCAUCCAAUAGCACAACAGAUCCAUCGAGCAACUGAAUGUAGGUACAUCUCUCUAGCAGAUUCUCUACAGCUCCCUUAACAAGCAGUGAGUUCUUCCCAGAGUUUGCUUUCACAAUAACUCCCAUUGACUUUCGAGUGCGAUCAAAUUCCAGAGUUGCUACUCUCUUGGCCAGAUUAUUCCACCACUGACAACUCCUUCGCAAAUCAGAUGAAUCGAAAGAUGGGGUAUAACCACCAGGAAGUCCCAUGUUCUCAACCAAAACCUCCAGAACAACUUCUGUAGGCAUCCCAGUAGCAACGUACUGAUGCUCAGAGUGGGCAAUACUUGCAUCAUGGCAAAUCGUAGCUAUCUUUCCGCUGCGCAACAGAUGUGAGCAUGAAAUAGUCUGUCCAAUGGUCACUUUGACUGUCAUCUGGUGAACCGAUGCCUGAACUCCCAACAAUUCUGGUGUAUAUUGUGGACUACAAUAAUUCCAAUAGACCAAUCCUUCCACUCGCCAUUUGGGACCCAACUUGAAACUCAGUGGACCAGUAAUCUUCAUUGACAACCAUACUUUCCAAACAGGUGGUGGCCAAGGCGGAAGCCUGACUUGAACACCAUCACCCAGUAUCACACUUUGCACAGGUGGUGGCCAUGAUUGCUUUAUUCCACUCACCCAAUACAGCUCUUGCAGCUUCCUCCAUGUACCAUCCUUCAGACUUCCCAACAAGUUUAUUCUUCCCUAGCCAGUCAAUCAGAUUAUUGGAGGAGUACAUCUGGCACAGGCCUCUUCUCGGCAUCUUCCCAAACACCUUAAUCGCAUAUUGACCUCUUCCAGCAUGACAGUAUGCAUCAACCAUCACAUUAAAGCUCCCAAGGUUCACAGCACUUGUCCUGGGCGAGUCAUGCUCCAUGCACAUUCUAUCAAACAGUCUGAGUGCAUCCUCCAAUGGAGCCCAGUUGUUGUAGAUGUUGUACGUGUAUGAGGCUUGGACAACCUCGUCCUCCUCCCGAUCCGCUAGCUUCUUCCCCAUGCCCUUCCUCCAGUGGCUGGGCGAGACGCGGAGGCCAAGGAUGGAGCCAACCUUGGUGUAGAUGGGGUCGUCUUUGGCCUGCUGGGUGGUGCCAACAGAGACGGCGGUCUUGGCGCAGCCGCGAACGAUUCCGGCGAUCUCCGUGCUGUUGGUGCCGAUUGUUGUCUCCACGACCAACAUGAGGGAGUCCGGCGAGCGGUGAAUGCGGCAGAGCAAGUCGCCGAGGAGGUCCGUGAAAAGGCACAUCUCGCCACCGCUGCAUCCGACCUCGCACGCGUGCUUCACCUCCUGCACGCCGACGCGGUCGCACGCGGCGUCGUACGCCCACACCACCAUGACGGCUGACGCCUCGACCAUCUCCCGGUCGGCCGGUCUUUCAGGAGCGAAGAUGUUGCAGGAGUCGAGCGGGGACGAGUCCAGCUGGUACUGACGGUGGAGGACCGAUUGUCCCCGCGCAACGAUGACCCUCUGGGCCGUGCCGUGCUGCUGCUCACGCUCUUCGAGAAGUGGCCGGACCACCGCCCCUUCGACAUGGAGGAGUUCGUCGUCGGGGUGGCCAUCGAGGGUGACACGAGGCGGAAACUCCGGUUCGCCAGCCACGUCCACGUGUGCGCCUGCCUCGAGGGCACUGGUGCUGGAGGCAACUGAUGCUGUGACGAAGGCGGAGGCGGCGAUGAACUCCCUGUCCAGCUCGGUGCUGGAGGCCCUGGGAACGCUUGACUCGACGCAAGUAGCCGACUCGACUCGUCGCGGGGGCUGGACAAGUUCUCUGUCCUCCUGCGGUCUGCGGAUGCCUGCUUGCGACGUAGCUGCUCGGCACGGCAGAGAUGCCCGGUGGAGGAAGCAAAUCCCGGGAGCUCGGGGCCACUGCACGGAUGACCGAGAGCAGAUCGACCCAGUUGCAGGGAGAGUUCGGAUCCGAAUCAAGGAAGUGGCGGUGGAAACAGGGCUUCUCGUCGAAGAUGGGACCCUUGUCGAAGCGAGACGUCUCGUCACAGGGCUCUUCACGGUGCUCGUCCAGGUGGUGCUCGACGUCGUCGCAGCGUCCGCUGAUGCGCUCGGACAGACGCGCCUCCAUGAGUCGCAUUUCAUCGAGCAGCUUGCAGAUGGCGGCGUCUUGGUGCUCCAUCGCGGAAGAUCGGGGUAGCCGCGGCAAAACAGCAAGUGGAUCCAGGAUGAUUGAAUCUGAUACCAAAUGUUAGCAACUGAUCGGGAGAACCGGAGAGAGCAAGAGCAGUUCUCCUGUUCUUCUUCCCAAAUCCACCUCGUCCCUCUAGCUCUCCGGUUCUCCCGAUCGGUUGCUAACAUGCUCGUAACCGUGGAUGCAUAUGAUGAUGCCAUUGUAGAGGACUUGGCACCUGCCUUCGUCCAUCUGCCCGAUGCUAACAAUGCUUGAGCAAAGUCUCAGGAUAAUACACAUCUGUCAGCGCCUGAUGCUCGUUGUUCUGGCACUUGAAGAUGAUGAUGCAAUGGUAGCAGAUAGCCCGAGGCUAGGUACCACCUCUGCUCCAUGUCGCCGCCCUUGCUUCCAAGAUAUAUUUUUUCUCGAGCAGGUUGAAUUUGUGAUCCAAAUUCUGUAUAAGGAGACCGUGUUGGUAAGCGGAGCGAAGGCCCAUCAGCCGGUUGAGUUUGUGAUCCAAAUUUUGUAUAACGAGACCGUGUUGGCGUGUUGGCAAGCAGAGCGAAGGCCCAUCAUCAUAUGGCUGAUCGGUGAUUACUAGCGAUCCUUGCUCCAUGCAAGCGGGUUGCAGCCUACAAAUCCGAACUUAGAACGGGUUUUUGAAGUUAGCUCACCCUCGCGAGAUCACGACUCUUUGUCCCGCCCAUUGUAGCACGUGUGCCGCCCAGGGCAUAAGGGCAUGAUGACUUGGCCUCAUCCUCUCCUUCCUUCGGCUUAACAGGUUCCAAACUCAUAGUGGCAACUAAACACGAGGGUUGCGCUAGCUGCGAGACUUAACCUAACACCUUACGGCACGAGGUGACGACAGCCAUGCACCAUCUCUCGUAACCCGCGGUAUAUAUUGGUGACCCUAAUUAGGGUUUGUUGUGCGUUAUUAGUUUUACUCCUCUUAUAAGCCGUCGUCUAAGAACGGCAAUCUGUAAACACUCCACAUAUAGUGAAGGUUUCGUAUGGCUGGUGCUCAUAGUUUUUCCCUUCACAUUGAAGAGUUUUCCACGUAAAUCUGUGUGUCAUGCUCUGCGGUUUGUUGGUUGAUCUACUUCAUUUUAUUUGUUAAUUCUGCUAACACAGCAUAUAACAGAGUUGCAAAUCAUUACAUAAUAAGGAAAAAAAGUGUAAGAACCCAUACAACACCCACCCACCCAUACCCUCUAAAACCAGAUUAAAAAGCAGUCACCAUUUAACUGAGAACAACCAACCUCGACUUAAAUGUUUAACCCUCAACUGUUACUAGAGUGAGGAGAUGAACAAGCCCUCGAGCUCCAUCCAUACUCCACAAAUGUAGCUCAUCAUUGUGCGCCAAUGACAAAUCUCCAGAAACACUUGGAGAGACCCCAUCGAAAAAACAUACGUUAUGACGGUUCUGUAAAGCCCAAGCUCCCAAGAUAAUCAGAGAAUUAAGACCUAUUUUGAUUGUAGCAGACGCAUUACUGGAACUGGUUCCAAGGUGAACUUGGUCGCACAACUCAUCAGAGGAGAUGGAUGCUCUGCUUCGCCUUCCUCGGUUCUGUAGUGCUCUGCUACACCCUCGACAAGCACAAAUGCAGGAAAAUCAACUGCCUUCUCUAAUGCAUCAUUGCCUAGACCAACUAUACAAUCAAGUUUAUACAAUGCUAGUACCAACUAUAAGGUACACUAGUUUAUGGGUGAUCUCAGCCCCAACUACUUCUAUAUAUGUCUGGCUGAUGCAUGCCACUACAUAGAUUGGACUGUUGCCAUGCUAAUACACACCCUGGGUGAACAAUAAUAGCUGACCAAAAAACCUUUCCAUCGGGCGACAAGGAAAAUACCACUCAGGCUGUACCGGAGACUCAUGCUGCUGCAAAUUCCAAGGUAAAUGCUCCAUAUGUCUCAGUUAUUGCUGAUGCUUUGAUUCCUCCAUGGGCUGCUAAGGGGGCUAGUCCUUCUCCGGUCCCUAUUGUUAUUGGUAGUCAGCCUACAAAUGAUGCAGAGCAGGUAGAUUUAUGUUACAAGGAUGCACAAGUUGAGUCAAAUGUUUUCAAUAUUCAAUCAAAUAGUCAGUGGAAUGAUGUAGUAGACAAGGAUAGACAACUGAUUUUAUCUAGUAAUGAGGUUCCGACUGCUAGCCACAACACUCCAGGUCAUUUCACUCCCCUGCCAAUAGAAAAUCAGCUUAACUCAAAUGAUAACCUGCAGAUCUUCAUUGAGUCAAUCACAAACAUACCAGAACCACCCCUAAUCCAAUCCCCUCCAAUCAGAAACAGGUGUGCCAUACCACCAGUAGUGCGGGGGUCAGACAAUUUAGGUGUAAAUGCAAAUAAAAAUUUUAUCUCGACUGGUAUACGAUCGAGUGGCAGGUUGGCAGCAAAACAAAAAUUAAAGAUUGGGGGCAGCCGCGAUGCCAUCUCCAAAGCUCAGGAAAUUCUCAUUGCAAAGCUAAAUAAUUCUGCAGCCAUACAAUACCAAUGUUCAAGUGCUUCCACCUCCAAUAAUCAUGUAAAUUUGACUGAACAGAUUGAAAGCCUUUUCUCAAAACCCCUCAACAAGGAGCAGAUGGAGGCAAUUAUGGAGCUGGCAAAUCAAGGCAAGGGGAAGAAAGGAAGCAGGUCCAGGGGCAGCAAGGUGUCGCCACUCAAAGCCCCCAUCAUCGAGGCUGUUCCCGAAAUAUGAGUUGAGCGUCCUAUCCAGCUACCAGUGGUUCUAGUCUUUUAUUUUAUGUAUCCCAAGUUAGUUCUCCCUUGCUCGUGUCAGGGGGCAGAGCAAGAUGUCCUGAAGGUUCUUUUGCUUCACUGUUGGUCGUCGCAUGGUAUUUGGUGGUCCUGGUGGUGGUUUUCGAAUCAUUGGAUCAUUGUACCUCUGUAUCUUACUAAUUUCAGUUUGGAACUUUUGUGUGUCUCAUGGGACAUGUGUAUCUUACUGUUGGUGAACAAGCUUGUCAGGUUGCAUCAAAUGUUAGCUAUGUUAUAUUCUUUAUGUGGCAAUGUCUGUUCAAGUAGAGGAGGGUUCAUCCUUUAAUGAAUACAAACUGCUGUAUUUUAUCUUGGAAUGUGAGAGGUUUGAAUGCCCAUGCUAAGCGUGAAAGUGUGAGGCAAACGAUUCUUUCUACCAACGCAACUAUUAUUUGUCUCCAGGAGACAAAAAUUAUGAGUUGGACUAAGGAUUUAUUAAAGGAAACUGUGGGUUGCAAGCUUGCAAAGCAGACUGUACACUUACCCUCUCUAGGAGCAUCGGGUGGAAUUCUUAUUGCUUGUGACGAAGACUAUUUUGAUAUUGCUCCAAUUACUUACACUUCAAUCUACUCAAUAUCAGUUAGGGUCAGUUCCAGAUUGGAGGACGUGGUGUGGGACUUAACGGUUGUUUAUGGCCCCCAGCAGGAGAAUGAAAAAAUUAUCUUUCUAUCUGAACCGUGUACCAUCUCUAACCUGAUGAGACCUGAAUGGUUGAUUUUAGGAGACUUCAACAUGAUAAGGAGAGUGAGGAAAAAAACAAGGGAGCAAUCAACAAAAGAGUAAUGAGGAAGUUCAACCAAACUAUUGACGCUCUACAACUCCUAGAGCUGGACCUUUUUGGAAAAAAAUUCACUUGGUCAAAUGAACAGGAUGAUCCUACGAUGUCUCGGUUAGAUAGAUUAAUGGCGACAACAGAGUGGCAUGCUCUCUUUCCAUCGACUAAUUUGCAGGCAAUUUGCACCAUGACCUCGGACCACUGUCCUCUAUUAAUGCAGGGUCACUCUUCUUGUAAUUUCUAUAGAGGGUUUCGUUUUGAAUCUUUCUGGGUACACAUUGAUGGUUUCAAAGAAGUAGUACAACAGGCUUGGAUGCCCGUGGUUAACUCAUCUGAUGCCAUCCUGUGGCUACAUGUUAAGAUGGUCCGCACGGCCAGAGCCCUCAAAGCCUGGAGACGACGCACGGUGGGUAACAUCAAAGUGCAGCUGGCUAUCAUUCAGAUCGUACUUACCAUGCUGGAAAAAGCUCAGGAAAAUAGAAGACUAUCUAGCGAUGAGCUUGACUUUAGAAGAAGGUUAAAAAUCAAAAUUCUGGGCCUUGCGGGCAUCCAGAUAUCUAUUGCUAGACAACACUCUAGACAGACUUGGGUGCGGUUGGGUGAUGCGAACACAAAAUUUUUUCACUUGAUGGCCAAUCACAGGAAAAGAAAAAAAUUUAUCAGAUCCUUAAAUUGUGGAACCCGCAUGUUAACUAGCCAAGAAGACAAGCUGCAAGAGGCUCACCGGCAUUUCCUUGAGAUUCUUGGGAGUAGAGGUGAGAGGAACAGUGUUAUCUGUUGGGAAAACAUGGACUACUCUCCCUUUGAUUUAUCUGAUAUGGACGCCAUGAUCAAUGACGAUGAGAUUAAGAACGUGGUUAUGGGCAUGCAUUCAGAGAAAGCGCCUGGACCAGAUGGCUUCAUAGGACUUUUCUACAAGGGCUGUUUUGAGAUGAUUAGAGAAGACCUCUCCAAAGGGAUCAAUGAUUUUUAUCAUCACAAAUGCAAAAGUCUGCAUCUGGUCAAUGAGGCAAACAUCGUUCUUCUACCAAAAAGGGAGAACCCGGACAAGAUAGACCUGUUUAGACCAAUCAGCCUAAUCCAUAGUUUUAUGAAGAUUAUAACCAAAAUAAUGGCAUCAAGGCUGGCACCGCGAAUGAAUGAAAUUGUUUCCACUACCCAAAACGCCUUCAUUCAAAAGAGAUCAAUUCAUGAUAACUUUCUAUAUGUCCAGAAGGUAAUUAAAAAACUUCACAAGAGCAAACAGGCAACUCUAUUCGUCAAGCUAGACAUAUCAAAAGCUUUCGAUUCUAUUAAUUGGGCAUAUCUCCUAGAUGUCCUAAGAGCUCUUGGCUUCACCCAAAAGUGGAGAGAUUGGAUAGCCACCAUCCUUGGUUCUUCGUCUUCCAAAAUCAUUAUUAAUGGUCAACAAACUGAAGCAAUCAAGCACAUGCGAGGGGUACGUCAGGGAGACCCACUAUCGCCUUUUCUCUUCAUUCUCGCAAUGGAUCCACUUCAGCGUAUGAUUGAAAUGGCAGCCCAUGAGGGGCUCUUGGGCCGGGUAUUACCUAAUGGGGCGAAGUUCCGCUGCUCCCUAUAUGCAGAUGAUGCGGGAGUGUUUGUUAAAGCAGAUAAAAUAGACCUCAAAGUCCUGAAAAGAAUUCUGGAAGCUUUCGAAGGUUGUUCGGGUCUAAAGAUCAAUUUUGAAAAAACGGAAAUUUUCCCGAUACGGUAUCCAGAAUCUUUAUGGCCAAAUUUAGUGGAAGUUUUCCAUGGAAAGUACUCAAAGUUCCCUGGAAAGUAUCUCGGUCUACCACUCCACUUCAGGAAUAUAAAAAGAAUUGAAUUCUAGCCAAUAAUAGAGAAAAUCAAUAAAAGGCUAGCCGGCUGGAAAGGUAGACUUCUUUCAAAGGCAGGUAGGGAAACCUUGGUUAAAUCUGUGUUGACCGUGCAACCGAUUUAUUUUCUAACUGUUUUCCCAGCUCAAAAAUGGCUACUUAAAAGGAUUGAUAAGAUCAGAAGAAAUUUCCUUUGGAAAGGAGAAAAUCUGGACUCAUGCAAAGGGGGUCAUUGUCUGAUGAAUUGGGCUACAACUUGUUUACCAAAGAAUAAGGGGGGGCUUGGCAUCCUUGAUCUAGAGCGCUUUGCAAGAGCGUUAAGACUUCGUUGGCUGUGGCUUCGGUGGACAGAUAAAGAUAAAGCAUGGACUCGCUUGCAACUCCCUUGUGAUAAAACAGAUGUUGAUCUAUUCAAUGCAUCCACAACUGUAACAAUUGGAAACGGCAAAACGACUGAUUUUUGGAGAUCGAGCUGGAUUCGGGGUCAGACGCCAAGGAACAUUGCACCAACCUUAUACAUGAAAGCCAAGAGGAAGAAUAUCUCGGUGUACCAAGCCCUUAGAAACAAUCGCUGGAUGCACUUCUGCUCUCCUUACACACAAGAUGGAGAAAUAAAAGAAUUCAUCUCCCUCUGGCAGGGUAUCAAUAACACACAUGGACUCAAUGAUCUCGAUGAUACUAUUUUAUGGAGGUGGACGGCUGAUGGGAAAUACAGCACAAGUAGCGCCUACAAAAUUCAGUUCACCACGAACUUUUGUAAAAUGAAAAUCUGUCCUAUCUGGAAGGCGAGAACUGAGCCCAAAUGUCGCUUCUUUGCAUGGACCUUGUUGCAUAACAGGAUUCUGACUGCGGACAACCUCCGAAAGCGGGGAUGGCCUUGCAAUCCAAUUUGUUGCCUAUGCAACUUAUCACAGGAAACUGUGGCCCAUUUAUGUAAAGACUGCCCAUUUUCUGCCGAGGCGUGGGGCAGGAUCCUUUCUUGGGCCAAUCUGUCCUUCCUACGUGGCAUUUCUAGCCCCGGAUCGUUGUACGACUGGUGGAAGAGAUUAAGGAGUCGUUGCUGCAAAGAGUCAAAGAAGAUGUUUGAUGGGCUUCUCAUCUGCUUCUGGUGGAAUAUAUGAUUGGAAAGAAACAACAGAAUUUUUCAGGGACAACAGAGAUCUACGGUCGAAAUUGCACAACUGGUGAAAGAUCAAGUUGAGAACCUUUUUUAGUGUAGCUUAGAUAGAUCAAUAGAUGAUGGCUUUUUUUGUGUUUUGUAUUCGGUCCUCUGAGUUAUCUUAUUUUUCCUUCAUCUAAUACAAUGAAGAGGCAAGUCUUUUGCCGCUUCCUUUCAAAAAAAAAUAGCUGACCAAAUGCCAACUCCACGCUGCAGCAAAACAACAAAGGAGAGCAGCACGUUAUCUUACAAGGCUUCUAGCUCUUUUAUCCGAUUGAAAACACUAAGUUCAGAGACAUUAUAUUGCAGCUCUUUUAUCGAACCUAGAUGUCCACCCUGUCUACAAACUACAGCAGACAGCUCGACACCAGUCCUCCCAGCAUACUUGUGAACUUGUUGUUAAGAAAUAUUCAAGAAGAGCAGCAAAUUUGCUCAGACCUAAAUUGCAGUCAGAAAACGAAGUUUAGAAAACACAAAGUUCAGAAAAGAAUCACAGACCUAGAUGCCCAUCCUGUCUACAAAAUACAGUAGACAGCUAGACACCAGUCCUCUCGGGCUCUCGGCAUACUUGUGGAGUUGUGGUUGAGGAAAAAAGAAUUUCCUGGAGCUUGAAGCUACAGAAGUACAUAAAAAUGCAGACCACACAGCAGAGCACUUAAGAAAGGUAUACCUGCCAGCAACAAGAACAGGGAUGGAAGCACAAAUUUAAUUUAGAAACAUGUCUUGGCCAAUAUUCUUACUUUCUUCAAAGAAAGAUAGUAAAGGUAUGAGACAUUCCAUACUCUAAUUAGCCUCACGUAGGACUAAUUGCCACAUGAAAAGUAAAAGCCAUAGCCACAGUUAGUUACUUCAUUCUGUCGGAGAAAUACACAUUGGCAAUUGUUCACAAUCAAGGAAUGAUAUAGAAAGUGAAAUAGCGGAGCAAAUGCAAGCGGAAAAAACAGGGAACCGCGGGGACAACAGCAUUAGCUGACCCAUUCGCUUCUGACUUGAUCCUGAACUCUGGAGCUUCAAUUGGAGAGAGCGUCGCGUUGGGGUGACAUCGAGGUGCCUGUUUAGAACAUAAAAUGUUUUAAAUAUUGAGAAACUCAUCAAUUGUGCUGGAAAAUGAAUAAGUAGAACCUGUACCUUCUCAUUUAUUUCAAGUGGCAAGUCUAAAAAAGCAAGUUUGGUAUUAGUAGAUGUGCUUCCAGCGAAGGUGUGAAAUCUUUGGCCAGCUUUCCCCAUCAGGUUCUUGGCAGUUCUUCUUCAAGACGGGGCAACCUGAUAUACUUAUGCGCUGGAGGGAGGACGGCAGAUCUGGUAAAGAUGCUAUGUUGGGGCAACACCCUAUAGAAAGACUCUCCAGAUUUGAGAGGGAUUUUAGAUUUUUUGGUAGGGACUCCACAUUUUGCAAUACCAAAAUCCCAGGCACUUGACAGAUGAGAGAUUUGCAGGCUCUUCAAAUGAAACUGACGGCUCUUUGCAAUAUGAAAGAUCAAGGGUGUCGUUUGGUUUACAUAUUGGUAACGUAAUGGGUAACCGAUAACGUUAAAUUACAUUUGUUUAAAUCCAACCGUAAUCGAUACCACACUACAAAUGGAUACCAUCUUAUUCAAGUUUGUUAUCGCCAAUAUUCGAGUGUGAAUCGUUACCAUUACCAUUUGGAUUACAUUUCGUGAACCAAACGCCACCAAGAUUCAGUGGCACUGUAAACCCUUCAGCCAUUAGCAUGUGGUUGAGCAAUACAGAGCUAACCGUGAGCGAUUCCUGGACAUGAAACUGUGAGAUGCACUUGGCAGUGAGGUUUGCAACAUCUACUAAACUUAGGUGCUUAAGGUGCAGGGAAGACACGCCUUCAACAAAGUAAAGAUCAGGGAGACCAUUUAGACGUAAUGAUUCAAGGGAGGUCAGGUGGCCAAUCGAUAAGGAUGGGGAGCUUCUGCAGACAUCAAUUGAAAGAUGUUUCAGAUGUGGCAAGCCAUUAAUGAACGAAUCAGCUGCAAGAAGCGGGAGCGGAAGCGGGAGCUUCUUCGCUGUGGGUCGCCUCCAUCGCCAUGGCAGCCCCCAUGGCCUCCUAGCUCAGGUCCCUUCUCCCCUCGCGCCCCCUGCUCCUGGUCUUCUCGUUUCUUCAAGCAUGGACCUCGCUCUUCUGGACUUUCGGCCGGGAUUGGCCUUCGAGGAUUCCCUCAGGCAUAAUUUGGCUUCUUCGGUUUGUCCUGCUCGACCUCGUCUUCGGUCGUCUUUCUGGCUGGUAGUUUCUUUUGGCAGAUGCAUCUUCAUGUUGAACUCGGAUUCUGUUGGUCACCUUCUCCAGGCUGCCCUUGGUGGGUUCGCGCCUGGUUUUGAGGUGCUUCAGAUCGCUGACCGGGUUUUUCGGUUUUCAGUUUCUUCGAUGGCUGUGAGUUUCCAUAUCUACAAUUCCAGAUGCAUUGAUCGUAAGGAAUUCAGAGCCUUCUUCAACCUUUGGAACCACGGUGGCCCUAACUGGAAACAUGAAUUCAAUAUUUUUUCGGAUGAAGAAGCGGCAUCUUGGCAGCAGGUUCAGGGCAAGAAGAGUUUAUCUUUUGCGGACAUUGUUAAGCUCCCUCUCACCGAUGCUAAUGUUGUCCCGAUUCGUAGCAACAUUAAGUUCGCCGGUGGUCAUGAGCGUCAGGCUCGGGCUAGAUCAUCGGUGUUCAAUCAUUUGGGCUCUCCUCCUGGUAAUCUGGCUCCGGUUCGCAGCGAUAAGAAGCUCCCCGCUGGUGGGUUUCAUCAGUCUCGCCUCAGAACCUCUGCGUUCAAUCGCCUGGGCUUGCCGUCUUCUUCCUCUCGGCGGAGAGCUGUAUCCCCUUGGUUUUCGAGCUCUGCUCCUAUUGGCGAAGUUCAUGGCGGCGGAACUCACGACCGUUCCAAUUUUCAAAAUUCGAAUUUUAACCGGUCUCGGCCUCGUAACCUCCAUUGGCGUCCCGUUCGGGCUCAGGGGCCUGUUGGGCUGUUGGGCCCGUCGACCUUCCACUGUCACUUCUGUAAGGUGCGUGGGCACUUGGAAUUAUUUUGUCCCUCUAAGAAAUCUCCUUUCGGUUUUCCUUUAGCCUCGUUCCUUGCCUUUGGGAGUCGAGCCAUUUUGGUGGGAAAUCGAAAAUCUCCGGACCACAGUACCUGGUUUCGCUCCACCGCGAUGUCUAUGACCGGUGGACCGCCUAGUUACAAUUGCUUCGAGGAGUUCACCCGGGAGGUAUUAAAAAAUCCGAAUCGUCACCUCUCCAGUCCCUGACGCUUUCUUUGGGUGUCACUUCAUCAAAACCCCAAACUGUUCCUUCUCCGUCUGCUGGUUGGCGAUCUUCGCUUCCUGCUCCGAUGGCGUAUAGGCGUGUUGAUCCCGAGCCCUUUCUUCCGCCGAGCUUCAGCGCUACGGUGGUCCUACACCGGGAGGUUAUGGCCAGGUCAGUGACUAGGCGUCUCCCACCUUUGCAUGAGGAUUGGGCCAUUAUCAAUAUUCAACCUUUACCUGAUCAUGAGGCCACUUUCCCGGCGGUGAGGGAUGUGGUCAGAGAAUAUUUGGUGGAGCACCGGCGGCUUGGGGUGCGAGAUAUUCAGCGGUCACACCUGGGUCAGGUUCUAGUUCAGUUUAGGAGUGUGCUUGAAAGAGACAAUCUUGUCUUGCUUGGUCCGCAGCAAUACCUAGAUGCCACCUUCGCUGCUCAGCGGCAUAAUGAUGUCUGGAACCACAGAGCCAUCUUUUUUAAUCGCGAAUGCUGGCUUAUGUUGUUGGGAUUACCACUUGAUUAUCAUUCAUCAGAAUACUUGCAGGCUGCCAUUGGUUCCUUUGGCAGAUUAAUCUUGUGGGAAGAAGACAGACACAAUGUUUACAGAACUAUGCUUAGGGUUCGGGUCACGUCUCUCGAGGAGGUCCCGCAGUUCAUUGUUUUUUCGGAAGCUGAUGGCUUUAUUGGUGAUUCUUGGACAGUUUAGUGUGAAAUCAUUCAGCAAACCUUGCUGGGGGGCCAACCCCAAGAUGAAGAUCCGGUUCCAGUGGCCCCGGAAGAUGGUCAACGGCUCCCCCUCGAGUUCUUUGGUCUGGGUCAACCUGUGCCUGCUGCGGGGUGGGAUCUCAAUUUCCCGCCAGAAGGCAAUGUCCAGGUUCAGCCAACAGACAACAUUCAGGGGGAUUGGGACCAAUGGAUUGUCAAUGACCCACCUGCGCAGCAGCCCCAGCAAGACCUGCCACCUGACGAGCAGCAAGUCAGCAACCCACAUUCGGACCUAUCCUCGGAUAGUUCUUCUGGUCCCAUUCAUGGCGUUCCGGUGCAGAAUGGGCAGAUUCUUGAUGACCUGGAUGUUGUUUGGCCGGUGCUUCACUUUAAUGCCCCUGCCCUCCUUGCUAUGGGUGAUGUUCCUAUGAAUGGGCUGCAGGAGAUUGACGGCCCACCAUUCCAGGGAGACCUCCAUGUGCCGGGGGAUAUUAUUAUCCCUGAUGCUCAGCCUGCGGAGCCUAAUAACAAUGGCCCCAACAAUGUGGUGUUGAACUAUAUGUUCUCUCAGGAUUGGCGGCCAGACCCUGUUCUUCUGAGUCACUCGGAAAGGAAAAGGAAUGCCCAAUUCUACAGGAUCUGGGCCAACUAUUUUGCUCCUGCUGGUAAUCUUGAGCUAACUGUUCAGAUCCCCAAGAAGUGGGCUCCGUUUUUCAUGACCAACCUGCUGCAUAAAGAUUCUUUCAGUUGGUCGAAGUCUUUCUUGUCUUCAGAUAUUCCCUCUGCCUUGCUGGAGCCUGAGUCUGAGACCCACCCUCUUGCCAUCCCCAAGAAAUGCCCUGAUGGCAAGUUCCUUGAAUCUGUUCUCAUGGAUGAAUCUACUGGCAAUGUCUCUGCUACCUCAGACUCGACCUCUUUCUCCUCCAAGCCUACUGUUGUGGAGUCUGACCUGAGGAGAAGCAAGAGACUUCGUGAUGCUCGGGCUGGGUUCAGACAGGGCUCCUAUCAGAAAAAGAACUGUCUGAUGUGUCAACACAAGUUUGAGGGUCCCCCUUCCCUUUCUGCCAAGGCCAUCAGAAGCCUUGGGGAAAGAUUUUGCAACCUGUCAGAGGUGGACCUGUCCGAUAAAGCUCUGAAGAAGAAGAAUAAUCCAUCUAGCUGUGUUGGCCCCAAUAAGCCAGGGAAAAGUGACAAGGAGGAUAAGGAACAAGAUUCCACAGAUGAAGACAACUAACUUGAUGGUGCUGCUCCGGGUGUGAGGAUUUUGCAGGACUUCGCUUCGCCAGGCUUUUUGGCUGUUUCGGCCCUGACGCUUUUGGCUGGUUGUUGUGGUGACAAACUUUGUGAUUUCUGGUUGCGCUGUGUCCUGUGCUAACAGUUACUCUUUUGGCCACCCAGUGAUUGGGUUUGGGUUUAUUUUCGUUGACGAACCUGAUCAUUCCCCCGAUGAAUAGUUACAACGCUGUUACUUUUUCUGAUUGGUCUGUUUUAAGUUUUAAUGUCCGAGGGAUCAAUUCGGUGGUUAAAGGGAAUGGUAUUCAUUGCGCGAUUAGGGAUUCCAGAUGUGAUAUUGUCUGCUUGCAGGAGACAAAGAAGGAAUCGUUUGACAGGGCUGACCUCAAAAAGUUUUGUCCCAAUUUCUUUGAUGCGUUCGCUUUUGUUCCCUCGGUGGGAAAUUCGGGUGGUUUCAUUACUGUUUGGAAUAGCUCAAAGUUGGUGGGCACUGUUAUUUUCUAGAAUGAUUAUGCUCUCUCGGUUGAAUUUUCUGCUAGUUCGUCCAAUGAAUCCUAGAUUGUCACCAAUAUUUACGCGCCUUGUACUCCACAUGGGAAAAUUGAAUUCCUCAACUGGUUCUCCAAUAUAAAUAUGCCCUCGAAAAAACUCUGGCCGAUUGUUGGGGACUUCAAUCUUAUUUGUAGGCCUGAAAACAAAAACAUCGCGGGGGGGGGACCUUAACCUGAUGUUGAAAUUUAAUGAGGCCAUUAGUGAGCUUGAUCUGAUGGAAAUCCCCCUCCAUGGUCUUUCCUUUACUUGGUCGAACAGGUAGAGGGAGCCUCUCCUUCAGAGACUCGAUUGGUUUUUUAUCUCGCAAGAAUGGUCAGUUUCUUACCCGGACACCCACUCGACGACGUUGCCUAGGGAUUUCUCUGACCAUGUUCCUUGUCUGAUUUCUUUCAAGUCAAAGGUCCCCAAGCCUAAGAUCUUUAGGUUCGAAAACUUCUGGCUGCAAUUUGAGGAGUUUAUGACUGUCUUUCAAAAUUCUUGGACUGGUCAGCCAACUCUCUCAGACAAAGAGAAGAACUUAACAACAAAAUUCAAGCACACCAGAAAGACCCUCAAAGAGUGGCAGCGGUCUCUGCCAAAUAUCGAUAAAACAGUUAGGCAAAUUAAGGUGCUUAUUGAGUUCAUUGACAUUAUUGAGGAGCAUCGCGACCUUUCGAUUGAAGAAUGGAAUUUCCGGGAGCUAUUGCAAACCAAAAAUGCUGAUAUGCUUCAAAUUCAGAAAAUUUAUUGGAAGCAACGGGCUUCCAUCAAAUGGGUCACCGAUGGAGAUAUUUGCUCUAGAUUUUUUCAUGCUCAUGCAACAGUAAAGCAUAGGCGUAAUUCAAUUGCGCUACUCUCUGAUGAUAGUGGAUCAAUCUUUUCAGAACACAACCUUAAAGCUAACCUUCUGUGGAAUGUCUUCAAAUGUCGUUUAGGUUCUUCUGACUUUUCGGAAAAUGUUUUUGAUCUCUCAGGUCUGAUAAUGUUGCAAGAGGGCUUGCAUUGGUUGGAUGAGCCUUUCUCAAAGCAAGAAAUUGAUAGCAUUGUUGCAGCUCUCCCCUCGGACAAAUCACCGGGGCCGAAUGGGUUUAAUACCAAUUUUAUCAAAAAGUGUUGGCCGGUCAUUUCUCAGGACUUCUACGACUUAUGUGAGCAAUUUUAUCAUGGGGAUGUAUGUCUUCGAAGUAUUAAUGGUUCUUUUAUUGUUCUGAUUCCGAAGAAGGAAAAUGCUCAAUUAGUGGGAGAUUUUAGACCAAUUUCGCUCCUAAAUAAUAGUAUGAAAAUCAUCACUAAGCUUCUGGCCAAUCGAUUACAGAUAGUGAUGACCUCCCUUGUUCACAAAAAUCAAUAUGGCUUCAUCAAAGGAAGAACCAUUCAGGACUGCUUGGCUUGGACUUUUGAAUAUAUCCAUUUAUGUCAUGUCUCCUAAAAACAGAUCAUCGUGCUCAAGUUGGAUUUUGAAAAGGCCUUUGACACAGUUGAGCAUGAUCUGAUCCUCCAGGUGCUGUCUCACAGAGGAUUUGGGCCCAAAUGGCUGGGCUGGGUUAGGGAUAUCCUCCAGUCUGGCACGUCUUCGGUCCUCCUCAAUGGUGUCCCAGGCAAAACUUUCCAUUGCAAGCGUGGGGUAAGGCAAGGAGACCCCCUCUCACCUCUUUUAUUUGUUCUAGCGGCAGAUCUGCUUCAAAGUAUCAUCAAUAAAGCGAGACAGCAAGGCCUACUCCAGCUGCCCCUCACUGAGAACUGUGGUCAAGAUUUCCCAAUUGUCCAAUAUGCUGAUGACACAUUAUUGAUAUUGGAAGCUUGCCCCAGGCAAUUAUUUUUCCUCAGAGCAGUUCUAAACUCUUUUGCUUCUCGACGGGACUCAAAGUGAAUUAUAAUAAAUCAAGCAUGUACCCAAUCAAUGUUUGCCCAACAAAGUUGGAGAUCCUUGCCAGAACACUCAACUAUCAGACAGGGUCAAUGCCCUUCAUCUACCUUGGUGUCCCUCUAGGCCUGUCAAAACCUAGAAUCUGUCACUUUUUACCGCUUAUCCAAAGGAUUGAAAGGAGAUUGUCAUGUACUUCUGCUCUUCUUUCCCAGGCCGGAAGGUUGGAGUUAGUUAACUCUGUUUUCUCAGCUCUCCCGACUUUCCUGAUGUGCACUCUAAAAAUUCCUGCCGCCACUGUCAAGAUGAUAGAUGUCUUCCGGAGGCAUUGUCUCUGGAGAGGAAAUGAUGUGAACUCAAACAGAUCAGCUCUUGCUGCUUGGUGCAUGAUUACUCAGCCAAAGAGCAAUGGGGGCCUUGGAGUGGUCAGAUUGGAGACGCACAACAAGGCCUUGCUUCUGAAAUUUGUGCACAAGUUCUUCAAUAAUCAUGACUUACCUUGGGUAAACCUUGUUUGGAACAACUAUUACAGGACAGACAGACUCCCUAGUUGUUCAAGGAUUGGCUUCUUUUGGUGGAAAAGUCUGCUUAGUCUAGUCCAAGACUUCAAGGGAUUGGCAGCCCCAACCAUUGGAAAUGGGAGAACUAUUCUUUUCUGGGGAGAUUUGUGGAAUAAGGGCAUCCCGACUCAGCAAUAUCCGUAAUUAUUCUCAUUUGCUUGCAACAGCAAACUCUCUAUCAAAGAAGCUAAGCAAAAAGACCACCUCUUUGAGAUUUUUCAGCUUCCUCUGUCUGAGCAAGCCUAUGAACACUAUCUUGAAUUAAAUGAGGCUUGGGGACAAAUCACGGUGACCGACGCAAAGGACACCUAGAAGCUCAUUUGGGGAUCCGAAAAUUUUUCUAUGAAAAAGACUUACAGGCAUUUGAUGGGUCAGACUCAAGUUCAUCAGAUUUUCAGAUUGCUUUGGAAAAAUAAAUGUCAACCAAAACAUAAAGUCUUUUUUUGGCUAUGGUUAAAAAACAGACUCAACACGAGGAAUAUGCUAAGGAGGAAAAACAUGACACUUGAGUCUUACACCUGUGAGAACUGCAUCUGGCAGAAGGAGGAAACUCUUUAUCAUAUCUUCCUCAAGUGCAACUUCGUGAAGGCUUGCUGGAAUUCAAUCAGUUUGAUGCCCCCUAGAAUUGCUAAUUUAGAGGAGGCUGCGGCAAAUCUAAAACAACAACUCAAUGUUCCCUUCUCUAUGGAGAUCAUUAUUCUCAUGACCUGGAGCAUUUGGAAGUGCCGUAAUGCUUGGCUUUUUCAGAACAAAGAUCCAACGGUGCAGCAAUGCAAGCAUGAGUUCUCAAAAGAAUUACUCCUGGUCACUCAUAGGGCUUUGGGUAGAUUCGAUUCUGCCAUCCCAAAAUGGGUUCAACAAUGGCAGUAGAAACUCUCCAUAACCUUCUAUAUUUCGUCUACUUAUUUGUUCUGAACAAUAUUUCCUUUCUAGUUUAAAUAAAUUUUUCAGUAGGGGUCCCCCCUCCUGUUCUCUAAAAAAAAUCAGCUGCAAGAAUGCAGCCACGGAUGCUGAGAUCGCUAGCAAGGUUCAACGAUGUUAGUUCUACUCCACGUGCUAGCUCUAAAGAAGGACAAUCCCAACAGUUAAAACAGGAAAGAGAUGGAGCAGCACGUAAGCCCCCCCAGUGAUUUGAGACACAAACAACCUAUUACAAUCAAUAUGACAAGCUUUGUCAAAUGCUCAAACACCUUUUCGGAUGGAAGUGUAGUUAAUGCCAUAUUAUAUUCCAAUUGUAAAGUUCUCAGUCAAGUGAGGCCACCAAGGCAAAUAGCUAAAGCUUCAUCUGUAAUACUGCAUGAAGAAAGAGAAAGUUCACAGAGUCCUGACGAUAGAACCAAUGGCAUCUCCAUGGUCCUUCCAUAAAUGAAUCUUAUCCUCUGCUCAUGGCAAAAGAGCCAUGCCUUGAUGAUGUUUUCUUUCAUCCAUACUUUAUCUUCUCUUUCCAACAGACCACUUUAAAUAAUUUGAAGAUGCCUUGAUAUAUCAUCAUCCAUCAUCAAUGUCAUCAACUGCUUUAGAGAUGAAUAGUCUAUCCACAGUACAAUCCUAACUUCUUUUCCUGAAUCCACCUCCCACAUCAAUGCAAGUUUAGAUGCCAGGUCGUCGGCCUUCAUUAUUAUAUUUUCCCUCAAGUCAUGCUGUCGCAACUCAUAGCCUUGCUUCUUCUGUACAGAAAAGACAUAAAUGUGUUGUAGCGACGUUAACUUACCUAUAUUCAGAAUUUGGCAAAUAGGCUUUUUAUUGAUGAAAUCAUGAGCAGACUCAUAGUACGCUCCUAGAUGUCGUAGCUUUCUUAAAUUGCAUAGUUUGUCAGGCAAAUUAUCCACCAUGUGGUUUAACCAAAGUAAUUGUAAGUGGUAGAGAGUACAUAAUGAUGUAGGCAAUUCAGAAACUAACGUCCUGAUGAGGUUCAAAUACCGGAGGUGCUUCAGCUCACCAAUAGAUUUUGGCAACUUGCUGCUGUUGUAAAAUGACAGAGACAAUACAUGCAGUUUUCUUUGGUUCCGUAGCAUGCCAUCAAAAAUAUCACUUGGGCCAUCCAUUAGCAGAUCGAUGCAGAUAAUAGUGCGUAAAUGAUACAGCUUGCAGAUAAUUUGCUUAUGCUUUUGCAUACUUUGAACAUGAACAAAUAGAUGUCGAACAGUGCAUGGUAUUUCUGUCACAUUAUCAUCUUCUAAUCUGAAGCAGUCAUCUCUAGAGAGUGGCUCUGCAAAAUCAUGAAGGAUAUCAUGCAUUACAUAGUACGAAUCACAAUGCAUCUGAGAAACCAAUUGGAAGAAAGAUACAGAGACCAUAUCAUUGAAGUAAUCCAUCCCAACCUCUUCUAACGUUCUCCUACUCAAAUUGCAUGAACCAACAAAUCCUUCUCCCACCCAAAGGUGAACCAACUCUUCAGGUCUAUAUCCCUGACCUUUUUGAAACAAGCUGCAAUACAAGAAGCACCUCUGCAGACGUGGAUCUAACUUCUCGUAACUCCACAACAGAGAUGUGAAGGGAUCACUUAAAUCUCCAAGCUUUAGAGCAGCUUUCCAUUCAGCAAUAUCCUUUUUCCUGCACAAUCGAGAACCCAUAACUUUUGUUGCCAAAGGACAUUGUCCAAGCCUUUUAGCAAUCUCCUCUACAGUGUCUUCUAGCUUCGUGCAUAACAGUUGGUCUUUGAUUUCUGCUCCAGAGAAAGCAUGGUGUUUAAAAAGAGCCAAAAACUCAGUAUCAUCCAUGUUUUCCAAAUGAAUGACAUGUUCUUGUUCACAACAAAUAGCAGCAGGAAGUGUUUUACUUUGAGAAGUCACCAAAACUUUGCUCCCUGACUGUUUAGAGACUAAUGGAGCAAGGAAUAACUCCCACUCUGUCUCAUUAUGAGAUUUUUCAAACCAAACAUCAUCCAAGACAAGCAGGAAUUUCUGUGACUCUUGUAGUAUAUCACGUAAUUUGCACUGGAGAGUAUCGAGAUUUAGAUAGAACUAAAAUUGAUAAAAUCAAUGAAUUAAUUGAUGCUUUGAAUGACAAGAAUAGAUUGUUAGAAAAGCAAGAGGAUCUUUUGUAUGAAGAGCAUGAUAAAUUUGUAGAUGUCCAAAAAUCUCUUUCUUUAGAAGUUAAAAGGAAUGAAAUGUUUUCUUGUGAAUUAUCUACUUGACAUGGGACUAUUUCUAGUUUAAAAAGUGUUAAUGGUGAUUUAAAUGCUAAGCUAGAAGUAUCAAAUAGAUCUAGUUCUUGUGUAGAACAUGUAGUGAUUUGCAAUAGGUGUAAGGACUUUAAUGUUGAUGCAUGUGUUGAGCACCUUACUUCUAUUGCAAAACUAAAUGGUGAAGUGGCUAGUCUUAAUGCCCAACUUAAGACUAGGAAAAAUGAAUUUGAUAAACUAAAAUUUGCAAGGGAUGCCUACACUGUUGGUAGACACCCCUCAAUUAAGGAUGGGCUUGGCUUUAAGAGGGAAGCCAAGAACUUAACAAGUCAUAAGGCUCCCAUCUCCGCCAAGGAGAAAGGGAAGGCCCCUAUGGCUAAUAGUGUUCAAAAGAAUCAUGCUUUCAUUUAUAGUGAUAAAAAAUUCUCUAGAAAUGCUUAUAGGAAUUAUUCUUAUGAUUCAUAUGCUAUGCCUGCUUCUAGUUCUUCUAUUGUGCAUGAUAUGCCUAGGAAAAAUGUUAUUCAUCAUAUGCCUAGGAGAAAUGUUGUUCAUGUACCUAGGAAAGCAAGUAAUGAACCUUCUACAAUUUAUCAUGCUUGCAAUGCUUCCUUUGCAAUUUGUAGAAAGGAUAAGAAAGUGAUUGCUAGGAAAUUAGGGGCAAAAUGCAAGGGAGAUAAAACUUGCAUUUGGGUCCCUAAGGCUAUUGUCACUAACCUUGCAGGACCCAACAAGAGUUGGUUACCUAAGACCCAAGCCUAAAUUUGCCUUGCAGGUUUAUGCAUCCGGGGGCUCAAGCUGGAUUAUCGACAGCGGAUGCACAAACCACAUGACGGGGGAGAAGAAGAUGUUCACCUCCUACGUCAAGAACAAGGAUUCCCAAGAUUCAAUCAUAUUCGGUGAUGGGAACCAAGGCAAGGUUAAAGGACUAGGAAAAAUAGCAAUUUCAUCUGAGCAUUCCAUUUCUAAUGUGUUUUUAGUAGAAUCGCUCGGAUAUAACUUGUUGUCCGUUAGUCAAUUAUGUAAUAUAGGGUAUAAUUGCUUAUUUACAAAUGUAGAUGUGUCUGUCUUUAGAAGGAGUGAUGGUUCAUUAGCUUUUAAGGGUGUACUAGACGGCAAACUCUAUUUAGUUGAUUUUGCAAAGGAGGAGGCCGAUCUAGAUGCAUGUUUAAUUGCUAAGACUAGCAUGGGCUGGCUAUGACAUCGCCGUCUAGCACAUGUGGGGAUGAAGAACCUUCACAAACUUCUAAAGGGAGAACAUGUGUUAGGACUAACAAAUGUGACUUUCGAAAAAGAUAGACCUUGUGCAGCUUGUCAAGCAGGUAAACAGGUGGGAAGUGCUCAUCACAGCAAGAAUGUAAUGACCACAUCAAGACCUCUGGAGUUACUUCAUAUGGACCUCUUCGGACCCGUCGCAUACCUAAGCAUAGGAGGAAGUAAGUAUGGUCUUGUUAUAGUUGAUGAUUUUUCCCGCUUCACUUGGGUAUUCUUUUUGCAGGAUAAAACAGAAACCCAAGAGACCCUCAAGCGCUUCCUAAGAAGAGCUCAAAAUGAGUUUGAGCUCAAGGUGAAGAAGAUAAGGAGCGACAACGGGUCUGAGUUCAAGAACCUUCAAGUGGAGGAGUACCUUGAGGAGGAAGGAAUCAAGCAUGAAUUCUUCGCUCCUUACACACCACAGCAAAAUGGUGUGGUAGAGAGGAAGAAUAGGACGCUCAUUGACAUGGCAAGGACGAUGCUUGGAGAGUUCAAGACCCCCGAGCGGUUUUGGCCGGAAGCCGUGAACAUGGCCUGCCACGCCAUAAACCGGGUCUACCUUCAUCACCUCCUCAAGAAGACGUCGUACGAACUCCUAACCGGUAACAAACCCAAUGUGUCAUAUUUUCGUGUUUUUGGGAGCAAAUGUUAUAUUCUAGUAAAGAAAGGUAGAAAUUCUAAGUUUGCUCCCAAAGCUGUAGAAGGGUUUUUGUUAGGUUAUGACUCAAAUACAAAGGUGUAUAGGGUCUUCAACAAAUCAUCGGGUUUGGUUGAAGUCUCUAGCGACGUUGUAUUUGAUGAGACUAAUGGCUCUCCAAGAGAGCAAGUUGUUGAUCUUGAUGAUGUAGAUGAAGAGGACGUUCCAACAACCGCAAUACGCACCAUGGCAAUUGGAGAUGUGCGGCCACAGGAACAAAAGGAGCAAGAUCAACCUUCUUCCUCAACAAUGGUGCAACCCCCAACUCAAGACGAUGAACAGGUUCAUCAAGAAGAGGCGUGUGAUCAAGGGGGAGCACAAGAUGAUCAUGUUAUGGAGGAAGAAGCACAACAUGCCCCUUCAACUCAAGUUCGAGCGACGAUUCAAAGGAAUCAUCCCGUCGACCAGAUAUUGGGUGAUAUUAGCAAGGGAGUAACUACUCGCUCUAGAUUAGUUAAUUUUUGUGAGCAUUACUCUUUUGUCUCUUCUAUUGAGCCUUUCAGGGUAGAAGAGGCCUUGCUAGAUCCGGACUCGGUGUUGGCCAUGCAGGAGGAGCUCAACAAUUUCAAGAGAAAUGAAGUUUGGACACUGGUGCCACAUCCCAAGCAAAACUUUGUGGGAACCAAGUGGGUGUUCCGCAACAAACAGGAUGAGCACGGGGUGGUGACAAGGAACAAGGCACGACUUGUGGCAAAAGGUUAUGCCCAAGUCGCAGGUUUGGACUUUGAGGAGACUUUUGCUCCUGUGGCUAGGCUAGAGUCAAUUCGCAUAUUGUUAGCCUAUGCCGCUCACCAUUCUUUCAGAUUGUUCCAAAUGGAUGUAAAGAGCGCUUUCCUCAACGGGCCAAUCAAGGAGGAGGUGUACGUAGAGCAACCCCCUGGCUUUGAGGAUGAAUGGUACCCCGAUCAUGUGUGUAAGCUCUCUAAGGCGCUCUAUGGACUUAAGCAAGCCCCGAGAGCAUGGUAUGAAUGCCUUAGAGACUUUUUAAUUGCUAAUGCUUUCAAGGUUGGGAAAGCCGAUCCAACUUUAUUUACUAAGACUUGUGAUGGUGACUUAUUUAUGUGCCAAAUUUAUGUCGAUGACAUAAUAUUUGGUUCUACUAACCAAAAGUCUUGUGAAGAGUUUAGCAGGGUGAUGACUCAAAAGUUUGAAAUGUCGAUGAUGGGCGAGUUGAACUACUUCCUUGGGUUCCAAGUGAAGCAACUUAAAGAUGACACUUUCAUCUCCCAAAUGAAGUACACGCAAGACUUGAUCAAGCGGUUUGGGAUGAAGGACGCCAAACCCGCUAAAACUCCAAUGGGAACUGUCGGCGUUUCGAGACCGGGGGGUCCCUAAGCCGAUGAGUGAAUGUCGCCGCGUGCCCCAGCCCAGAUGGGUCGACGCGAGGCCGAGCGCGAAGGGGGGAAGUGAGGUGGCCGGAGAUGGGCGUGAGAGAGGUGGAAAUCCCGCGGCCUUCGUGUUCGUCCCACGCCCAGGUCGGGUGCGCUUGCAGUAGGGAGUUACAAGCGUCCACGCAGGGGAGGGAGCGAGCGGCCUCACGCGAGCGCCUGUCUCGUCCUCGUCCCCGCGCGGCCAACCCUCUCUAAGAGGGCCAUGGUCCUUCCUUUUAUAGGCGUAAGGAGAGGAUCCAGGUGUACAAUGGGGGUGUAGCGGAGUGCUACGUGUCUAGCGGGGGAGAGCUAGCGCCCUAAGUACAUGCCGAUGUGGCAGCCGGAGAGAUUUUGGCACCCAGCUGGUGUGAUGUCGUGGCCGUCGGAGGAGCGACGGAGCCUGGCGGAGGGACAGCUGUCGGAGCGGUUGAGUCCUUGCUCACGUCCUCCUGCUUUCGUAAGAGAGCUGAGAGCCGCCGUCGUCACAGAGCAUGCGGGGCGCCAUCAUUGCCUAUCUGGCGGAGCUAGCCAGAUGAGACACCGGUCUUGUUCUCUGCGGCCCGAGUCAGCUCGGGGUAGGGUGAUGAUGGCGCUUCCUGUUGACGUGGCUGGCCUGCACCCUAGGUUGGGCGAUGUGGAGGCUCCUCCGAAGCCGAGGUCGAGUCUGUCUUCCAUGGCCGAGGCCGAGUCUGAGCCCCUGGGUCGGGCGAGGCGGGGGUCGUCGGCAGAGGCCAGGGCGGAGUCCGAGCCCUAGGGUCGGGCGAAGCGGAGUUCGUCGUCUUCCGGGACUGAGCCCGAGUCCGAGCCCUGGGUCGGGCGGAGCGGAGUUCGCCGUCUUCCGGGACUUAACCCGAGUCCGAGCCCUGGGUCGGGCGGAGCGGAGUUCGUCGUCUUCUGGGACUUAGCCCGAGUCCGAGCCCUGGGGUCGGGCGGAGCGGAGUUCGUCGUCUUCUGGGACUUAGCCCGAGUCUGAGCCCUGGGUCGGGCGGAGCGGAGUUCACCGUCUUCUGAGACUUAGCCCGAGUCCGAGCCCUAGGUCGGGCGAAGCGGAGCUUCCUAUGGUGCCUUUGGCAGGACCUGACUGCUUGUCAGUCUCAUUCUGUCAAGUGGCACUGCAGUCGGAGUGGCGCAGGCGGCGCUGUCCUUCUGUCAGGCCGGUCAGUGGAGCGGUGAAGUGACGGCGGUCACUUCGGCUCUGCCGGGGGGCGUGCGUCAGGAUAAAGGUGUCAGGCCACCUUUGCGUUAAAUGCUCCUGCGAUUCGGUCGGUUGGUGCGGCGAUUUGGUCAGGGUUACUUCUUAGCGAAGGCAGGGCCUCGGGCGAGCCGGAGAUGUGUCCGCCGUUGGAGGGGGGCCUCGGGCGAGACGGAAACCCUCCGGGGUCGGCUGCCCUUGUCCGAGGCUAGGCUCGGGCGAGGCAUGAUCGAGUCGCUCGAAUGGACUGAUCCCUGACUUAAUCGCACCCAUCAGGCCUUUGCAGCUUUAUGCUGAUGGGGGUUACCAGCUGAGAAUUAGGAGUCUUGAGGGUACCCCUAAUUAUGGUCCCCGACAGUAGCCCCCGAGCCUCGAAGGGAGUGUUAGCACUCGCUUGGAGGCUUUUGUCACACUUUUUUGCAAGGGGACCAGCCUUUCUCGGUUGCAUUUUGUUCCGGUGGGUGCGCGCGAGCGCACCCGCCGGGUGUAGCCCCCGAGGCCUCGGAGGAGUGGUUUCACUCCUUCGAGGUCUUAAUGCCUUGCGUAAUGCUUAGGCUGGUCUGGUUGUUCCCUCAUGCGUAUUGGCCGUAGCCCGGGUGUACGGUCGGGGCCCAAGUUCUCGGGCUGGUAUGUUGACGCUGUCAACGGUUCGGCCGGAGCCGGGUUUGCGAGAGCAGCCCCCGAGCCUCCGCACAGGGCGAGAGGGCGAUCAGGGACAGACUCGGCUUUUUUACAUACGCCCCUGCGUCGCCUUUCCGCAAGGAGGAGGGGGGAAAGCGCCAUGUUACCCUCGAUGGGCGCCGAACAUGGUGUCUCCGGUGAGCUGCAAGCGGGUAAUCCGAGUGGACGUCCGUGCCCCGUUCGUUAGGGGUCGGCUAGGGGCCCAGAGGCACGCCCAAAAGUACCUGCGGGUGAUCUGCCGGACCCGGUCCCCUGGCGACGGGGUCCGAGGGCUCGAUGCUUCCCUCUGAUGGGAUUCUGUUACAAGAUCGCUCCCGCUGGUCUCGGAAAUGUCCUAGGGUACCUCGGGAGCGCAGCCCGAGCCUCGGUUAUGUAUCGAACGUACCCCUGGUCAUCCCUCGCUCGGCGUCUGAGGCGGCUGUGAACCCUUCGGGGGCCAGCCUUCGAACCCCUGAUCAGUAAUGGGCGCGAAGCCCGAGUAGCCUGAGGCGGCCGUGGAACCCUUCGGGGGGCCGGCCUUCGAACCUCUGACCAGUAGUGGGUGUAGGGCCCACGCGAUCUGAGGCGGCUGUUGAAACCCUUCGGGGGGCCAGCCUUCGAACCUCUGAUCAGUAAGGAGGCUCGGAGCCUGGUUCCUUCAUGGGGAAGGAUCCUUUUCGGGGUAUCCCCCUUUCCCGGUCCCUGUUGCAAGAGAUAGAGAAAGAGGAAAAAAGGAAAAGGAUACAAAAUCGAACGAUGCGGCGUACCUUUUUUGGCGCGGUUAUUACGGCGAAGGCGAAGCGUCGCCCGCUUCUCCUGCCAGAAGCGACGCAUGUCCUGCCGCGGAGUUAAUGCGAAGGGGCGAGUGGUUGGCGGGGCGGCCGUUGCGCGUGCGCGAGCCGUGCGAGGAACGGAUCACGGGCGCGUUGUCUUCACGCCGUGAGAGGGGGUUCUCUUGCUGCCCCGGACGGGACGUGAGCUCGGCUGACGACGUGACCGCUGCUCCCGCCCGCCUGCCACCGUCAUUACUGCCGGCCCACUUUUGGCCGCAUUGACCGCCGCGUCAGGCCGGCGCUGCUGGGUCGUGCGCUGGGUCGCCUCGAGUCGCGGUAUUGGUUCCGCAAUCGAGGAGGCGCGGUGGUGGCGCAAGUGGCGGUGCAGUUGCUUGCAUGUAGCAUCCGGCGCGCCGGUUGCGUGACGCGUGGGCCUGGGCCUCUAUGCUGGCGCGCCGGGAGUCGGAGAGGCGCGUCCACUUGGCGCGGUUGCAUGCCGCCUGCAUGGCUGCCCGCCUCUUUCGCCCGUUGGUCUGGGCAAAAGUGGAGGGUCACUUGUAACCGCUGGGUGGUUGUGUGCACCACGCGCGGCGGUUUGGCUUCUUCUGCUCUGAGCCGGUUUGCAUGACAUGCGGGACCCAGCCCCCGCGCCACAGGGGAGGGCCUUGGAGCGUGUUGGAGAAGAUUCAGCCCGUGACGGUUGGGGGCGCAAGUGGGGAGAGUUGCCUUUAAAAGGAGGGCGACCCCGUUCGGAAGGCGACCAUGUCCUCUCGCUCCCUUAUGCAUCGCGUCUUUCCACCUUCCAAGCCCCCGGAUGGGGGAUACCCGCCGUCUUUUCGCCUCAUUGUUGGAGGAACGCAACUCCGUGGGAGUUGGUACCUUUCAGCCAUCGUUCGGCUUCAAGGAUUUUCAUCAUGCAGCCCGGCUGCACCCCUCCACCGGCGGUCACCCAAGAUGGUGACCUCCAGCUUGAUGGUGGGGGAAAGCGAGCCGGGCUGCGGCCUCUGCCCCUCCCUCAGCCUCAAGGAUUUUCAUCACCAGGGCUGGGGAGGGGAGUGUGCCAAGUUGGGGUCGGCCCCUGCGUGGGCGGCGGCCCGCUCCUUCACUCAGUGAUGGGAGGGAAGGGCGGUUGUCGUCCGUGGCGCCGGCAGCUGCACCGUGCCUGGCUCUCGGACGCGAGUGGCUUCGGAGCCGCUCGCGGCGCCGACGUCUGCCACAGCAGCUUGAAGAGGUUCUUCCGCCGGCGAGAUAGCCAAGGCCGGCCACGGACCGACCUCCAACUCUACGGCCUUCUGCCCGUCCUUGCCUCACAAGUUUGGGCAUGGGCGGGGGCCUCCUGGCAGCAGCAUCCGCCCUGAGGUCAGUGCUGCCGCUGUUCGGCCCCCCGGAGCAGAAGUCGUCGUCGUCGCCGCUGCUGGAGCGGGUGACGGCGCGCCGUUCGUCGGUCUUCUGUUGCUCCGCAGGCCCACCCCUAUCGAGUGGGGUUGUUCGUACCUGCGGAGGGGGAACCGGAGUUCCGUUUGUAAUGGCACUUUGAAUGCCAGUGUUUUUGUUCAUCGUGGUUGUCGAGGCCUGAACAUGUAUGUAAUUUUGGCACGGAGCCGUGUUUUUUCCUCAUUUUCGAGCACUAAGACUCGCCUGUUAAUUAUCUGAACCGCUUCACCAAGCAUGAGUCGCCCUGUGUCAAGGUGACGAGUGAGGUAUCCGUAUCCCGGAGGCGUAGGAGUCCCUCGGCUCGGUCGGCCUUGUUGUCUGAGGCUCCUCUAGCUUAGUUAAAGGGACCCCUUGGCCGCUCUUCGACGAGCCGAGGCCAGGGGUAGCGAUAUCAGCAUGAACAGAGGCGGAGUUGGCUCGAAAAUGAAACCUGGUUGGCCGGAGCCUAGCCGGGUUAUCCGUUAGCGGGACCGACGCCGGAGUUGAUCAGCCGAGGCCUCGGGUCGGGCUGGCGCCCUUGGAAGAUGGUUGGCCGAGGCCCCAGGGGUAACCGGCCGAGCCGCCUGCUCGGGCCGGAUUCCCGGAGAAGUCCCUGGCAGCGAUUGUCCGGGCGUGGCGAUGACGUCGUCCUCCAGAGUGAGGAUCCCUGGACCGCGUCGCCGUCCGAGGCUAGGUCGGACUUCGCUGAAGGUGUUGUCGAUGCCGAGGGUACCACUGCCCCCUUCCAGCGUCAAGACCCGAGCCUUCAGGAUCAGAGUGUCUUGUAGCGUGUGCCUUCUGCGGCCACCGAGGCCAGAAUACACACCCUCGCUGUGUUGUAAAGCUGCGUCUCCUUUCCUCUUGUUUCGAGUAUCUGGACUUUUUUGUCGGUAACAGGGAUGUUUGUGUGAGCGAGGGUUGCUUCUCGCGGAAGGUGAUGAGUGAGGUAUCCGUAUCCCGGAGGCGUGGGAGUCCCUCGGCUCGGUCGGCCUUGCCGCUUACGCGCACUUUCACCCGUCCAUGAGGCCCUGUCACCGACUCAGUCGAGAAGGCUCGAAGGAUCGCUUCGGCAGAAGAGCUUCCGAACGUGAAGACUUGUUCGGUCCGCGGAAUCACUUUACCCGAACGCGAGUUACUUAUCGCAGAAGGUGAUGAGUGAGGUAUCCGUAUCCCGGAGGCGUAGGAGUCCCUCGGCUCGGUCAGCCUUGGCUGCUUACGUGUACUCCGUCGUUUUCAGGAUCCACUUUUCGAAGUAGUCAGAAAGCACGAAAGAUAUUCUGGCAGAAGAGAUCUUUUUUUGAGGAAAAUUUCAACGCAGAGGGGGUUCCCCCCCUUUUAGCCCCCGAGGGAGGGUCGGGCUUUGCCGAGGCGAGGCCGACCCUUCCUUGAUGACUAAACUUUGCGUGGGUGCGAGGUAUAUGAACAACUUGAAAACAUCUUAAGGGUAGAAGCGACGUAGCUGUUGGAUGUUCCAAGCGUUGCCGUAGACCUCGCCUUGACUGUUGGCCAGCUUGUUGAGAGCACCUUGAGGGGGGUGAAUAGGUGAUCCUGCGAAACUUAAACUUAUAGCCACAAAAACUUGGUUAAUCGUUAGCACAAUAAUUGCCAAGUGGCAAGAGAGGAGCCAAGACACAAUAACCACAAGAAAUCAAUCACAGAGAUGACACGGUGGUUAUCCCGUGGUUCGGCCAAGUACAAAACUUGCCUACUCCACGUUGUGGCGUCCCAACGGAUGAGAGUUGCACUCAACUCCUCUCAAGUGAUCCAAUGAUCAACUUGAAUACCACAGUGUUCUUCUUUACUUUGAUCCUUUCCCGUUUGCGAGGAAUCUCCACAACUUAGAGUCUCUCGCCCUUACAAUUGAGUUUCACAAAGAAGCACGGAGUAAGGGAGGGAAGCAACACACACAAAUCCACAGCAAAAUGCGCACACACACGGCCAAGAAACGAGCUCAAAAGACUAUCUCAAAGUUCACACUAGAACGAGCUCGAAUCACUGAGAAUGACAAACGAAUGCGCAAAGACUGAGUGUGGAUGAUCAAGAAUGCUCUAAGGUUGCUUUGAUGUCUUCUCCAUGCGCCUAGGGGUCCCUUUUAUAGCCCCAAGGCAGCUAGGAGUCGUUGAGAGCAAAUCUGGAAGGCCAUCUUUGCCUUCUGUCGUCGGGCGCACCGGACAGUCCGGUGCACACCGGACACUGUCCGGUGCCCGAUUUAUUUCCAUAAACAGCGCAGCCGACCGUUGCCGACCGUUGCAGAUCUGGCACACCGGACAGUCCGGUGCACACCGGACAGUCCGGUGCCUCCUUCCGACCGUUGGCCAGACCACGUGUCGCGCGCAGAUUCCGCGGCCGACCGUUGGCUCACCGGACAGUCCGGUGCACACCGGACAGUCCGGUGAAUUUUAGCCAUACGCCGUCGGCAAAUUCCCGAGAGCGACGUCUUCAGGUCGAGGCAGCCUGUCGCACCGGACACUGUCCGGUGCACCACCGGACAGUCCGGUGCCCCAGACCGAAACAGCCUGUUGGCUGUACACAGCCAACAUUCUCCUUUUCUUCUUCUCUCUGUUUCUAACACUUAGACAAAUAUAUUAGUACACAAAACCAAUGUACUAAGGCUUAGAAACAUACCUUUACUUGUGAUUUGCACUUUGUUCAUCCAUGGGCAUAGAUUCACAUUUAAGCACUUGUGUUGGCACUUAAUCACCAAAAUACUUAGAAAUGGCCCAAAGGCACAUUUCCCUUUCAAUCUCCCCCUUUUUGGUGAUUUAUGCCAACACAACAUAAAGCAACUAGAACAAGUGCAAAAUCACUUCAAAUAGAACUCAAAUCUAUUUUGGUUCAUUUUUUUGGCAUAUAUGGAUCAUCCUUUGCCACCACUUGGUUUGUUUUUGCAAAUCAAACUCAAAUCUCUAUCUCUAAGUCAAACACACAUGUUGAAGCAUAAAGAGAGUCAUUCCAAAAGAGAUUGAUCAAAGAUUUCAAAAACUCCCCCUUUUUCCCUUAAUCACUACUUCUCCCCACAAGAAGCCAACUUUUGACAAAAGAGACAAUAAGAGAGUUUUGACAAAACAAAAAGCUCUAUUCUACUAUUUUCAAAAUCUCUCAAGUGGUAGCUGAUCCAUUUAUUGCUUUGGCCUUUAUUUUCUCCCCCUUUGUCAUCAAGCACCAAAACGGGAUCAACUUUGGCCCUAUAACCCCAUUGCCUCACCAAAAUCUUCAAUUAAGAGCAAAUGGCAAUAAGAGUUCAUGAGAUGGACUUGGAAUAAGUUACCCUCUCAUCGGAGUGCAGUGGAAGUCUUUCAUGGUCCAAGUCCACCUUUUCCCUUUCAAUUCUCCUUCGAGACUAAAUCAUGCAAACUCAAGCAUAUGGUUAGUCUCAAGGAGUCAAGUUGUAACACAACUCCCCCUAAACAUGUGCAUCACUUUGCAACGGACUUGUGAGGUCCAGGGAGUGUUUGUACAACUUGAGCACCAUAAUAAGCAACAAAAUGCAGAAUGAACAUGAUCAAGGGCAUUAACACAUGUAUGCUACAAUUCAAUCCAAGUUCCGCGAAUCUAAGACAUUUAGCUCACUACGCAGCCUGCAAAAGGUCUUCUCAUCUAGAGGCUUGGUAAAGAUAUCGGCUAGCUGGUUCUCGGUGCUAACAUGAAACACUUCGAUAUCCCCCUUUUGCUGGUGGUCUCUCAAAAAGUGAUGCCGGAUGUCUAUGUGCUUUGUGCGGCUGUGCUCAACAGGAUUUUCCGCCAUGCGGAUAGCACUCUCAUUAUCACAUAGGAGUGGGACUUUGCUCAGAUUGUAACCAAAGUCCCUGAGGGUUUGCCUCAUCCAAAGUAGUUGCGCGCAACACUGUCCUGCGGCAACAUACUCGGCCUCAGCGGUGGAUAGGGCAACGGAGGUUUGUUUCUUAGAGUUCCACGACACCAGGGACCUUCCUAAGAAUUGGCACGUCCCCGAUGUACUCUUCCUAUCGACCUUACAUCCAGCAUAGUCGGAGUCUGAGUAUCCAACCAAGUCAAAGGUAGACCCCUUUGGAUACCAGAGCCCGAAGCAAGGCGCAGCGACUAAAUAUCUAAGGAUUCGCUUCACCGCCACUAAGUGACAUUCCUUAGGAUCGGAUUGAAAUCUAGCACAUAUGCAUACGCUAAGCAUAAUAUCCGGUCUACUAGCACAUAAAUAAAGUAAUGACCCUAUCAUUGACCGGUAUGCUUUUUGAUCAACGGACUUACCUCCUUUGUUGAGGUCGGUGUGUCCGUCGGUCCCCAUCGGCGUCUUUGCGGGCUUGGCGUCCUUCAUUCCAAACCGCUUUAGCAGAUCUUGCGUGUACUUCGUUUGGGAGAUGAAGGUGCCGUCCUUGAGUUGCUUCACUUGGAACCCAAGGAAGUAGUUCAACUCGCCCAUCAUCGACAUCUCGAAUUUCUGCGUCAUCACCCUGCUAAACUCUUCACAAGACUUUUGGUUAGUAGAACCAAAUAUUAUGUCAUCGACAUAAAUUUGGCACACAAACAAAUCACCAUCACAUGUCUUUGUAAAAAGAGUUGGAUCGGCUUUCCCAACCUUGAAAGCAUUAACAAUUAGAAAGUCUCUAAGGCAUUCAUACCAUGCUCUUGGGGCUUGCUUAAGUCCAUAGAGCGCCUUAGAGAGCUUACACACAUGGUCGGGGUACCGAUCAUCCUCGAAGCCAGGGGGUUGCUCCACGUACACCUCCUCUUUGAUUGGCCCGUUGAGGAAGGCGCUCUUCACAUCCAUUUGGUACAGCCUGAAAGAAUGGUGAGCGGCAUAUGCUAGCAAGAUACGAAUUGAUUCUAGCCUAGCCACAGGAGCAAAAGUCUCCUCAAAGUCCAAACCUGCGACUUGGGCAUAACCUUUUGCCACAAGUCGAGCCUUGUUCCUCGUCACCACUCCGUGCUCGUCCUGUUUGUUGCGGAACACCCACUUGGUUCCCACAACAUUUUGCUUCGGACGAGGCACCAGUGUCCAAACUUCAUUCCUCUUGAAGUUGUUGAGCUCCUCCUGCAUGGCCAACACCCAGUCCGGAUCUAGCAAGGCCUCCUCUACCCUGAAAGGCUCAAUAGAAGAGACAAAGGAGUAAUGCUCACAGAAAUUAACUAAUCGAGAUCGAGUGGUUACUCCCUUGCUAAUGUCACCCAGUAUUUGGUCGACGGGAUGAUCCCUUUGAAUCAUCGCUCGAACUUGGGUUGGAGGUGCCGGUUGCGCUUCUUCCUCCAUCACAUGAUCAACUUGUGCUCCCCCUUGAUCACACGCCUCCACUUGAGGUACCUGUUCGUCAUCUUGGGUUGGGGGAUGCACCAUGGGUGAGGAAAAAGGUUGAUCUCGUUCCAAGUGUUCCUGUGGUCGCACAUCACCAAUCGCCAUGGUGCGCAUAGCGGCCGUUGGAACAUCUUCUUCAUCUACAUCAUCAAGAUCAACAACUUGCUCUCUUGGAGAGCCAUUAGUCUCAUCAAAUACAACGUCGCUAGAGACUUCAACCAAACCCGAUGAUUUGUUGAAGACUCUAUACGCCUUUGUAUUUGAGUCAUAACCUAACAAAAACCCUUCUACAGCUUUGGGAGCAAACUUAGAAUUUCUACCCUUCUUCACUAGAAUGUAGCACUUGCUCCCAAAUACACGAAAGUAAGAUACAUUGGGUUUGUUACCGGUUAGUAGCUCAUACGACGUCUUCUUGAGGAGGCGAUGAAGGUAGACCCUGUUGAUGGCGUGGCAAGCCGUAUUCACGGCUUCCGUCCAAAAGCACUCGGGGGUCUUGAACUCUCCUAGCAUCGUCCUCGCCAUGUCGAUGAGCGUCCUGUUCUUCCUCUCUACCACACCAUUUUGCUGUGGUGUGUAGGGAGCGGAGAACUCGUGCUUGAUCCCUUCCUCCUCAAGGAAUUCCUCCACUUGAAGGUUCUUGAACUCGGACCCGUUGUCGCUCCUUAUCUUCUUCACCUUGAGCUCAAACUCAUUUUGAGCCCUCCUGAGGAAGCGCUUGAGGGUCCCUUGGGUUUCAGACUUAUCCUGCAAAAAGAACACCCAAGUGAAGCGGGAAAAAUCAUCUACAAUAACUAGACCAUACUUACUCCCUCCUAUGCUCAGAUAGGCGACGGGUCCGAAGAGGUCCAUAUGCAGCAGCUCCAGGGGUCUUGAAGUGGUCAUCACAUUCUUGCUGUGAUGCGCUCCUCCCACUUGUUUACCUGCUUGACAAGCUGCACAAGGUCUAUCUUUUUCGAAUUGAACGUUAGUCAGACCUAUCACGUGUUCUCCCUUUAGAAGCUUGUGAAGGUUCUUCAUCCCCACAUGUGCUAAGCGGCGAUGCCACAGCCAGCCCAUGCUAGUCUUAGCUAUUAAGCAUGCAUCUAGACCGACCUCUUCUUUUGCAAAAUCAACUAAAUAAAGUUUGCCGUCUAAUACACCUUUAAAAGCUAGUGAACCAUCACUUCUUCUAAAGACAGACACAUCUACAUUUGUAAAUAGACAAUUAUAUCCCAUAUUGCAUAAUUGACUGACCGAUAGCAAGUUAUAUCCUAGAGACUCUACUAAAAACACAUUAGAGAUAGAGUGCUCAUUAGAAAUUGCAAUUUUACCUAACCCUUUUACCUUGCCUUGAUUCCCAUCACCGAAUAUAAUUGAAUCUUGGGAAUCCUUAUUCUUGACGUAGGAGGUGAACAUCUUCUUCUCCCCCGUCAUAUGGUUUGUGCAUCCGCUGUCGAUAAUCCAGCUUGAACCCCCGGAUGCAUAAACCUGCAAGGCAAAUUUAGGCUUGGGUCUUAGGUACCCAACUCAUGUUGGGUCCUACAAGGUUAGCACAAAUAUCCUUAGGGACCCAAAUGCAAGUUUUGUCUUCCUUGCAUUUUGCCCCUAACUUCCUAGCAACAAUUUUCUUAUCCUUUCUACAAAUAGCAAAGGAAGCAUUUAAAGCACAAUAAAUUGUAGAAGGUUCAUUCACUACUUUCCUAGGAGCAUGAACAACAUUCUUUCUAGGCAUAGCAUUUUUCCUAGACAUAUUUCUAUCAUGCAUAAAGGAAGAACUAGAAGCAACCAUGACAUGAGCAUCAAAAUCAUCAUAAGCAUUAUAACCCCUAUAAGCACUUCUAUCAUGAUACAAAAAAGCAUGGUUCUUUUUAGUGCUACUAGCCAUAGGAGCCUUCCCUUUCUCCUUGGCGGAGAUAGGAGCAUUAUGGCUUGUCAAGUUCUUGACUUCUCUUUUGAAGCCAAGCCCAUCCUUAAUUGAGGGGUGUCUACCAACUGUGUAGGCAUCCCUAGCAAAUUUUAGUUUAUCAAAAUUACUCUUGCUAGUCUUAAGUUGAGCAUUAAGACUAGCUAAUUCAUCAUUCAAUUUUGAAAUAGAAACUAAGUGUUCGCUACAAGCAUUAAUAUCAAUAUCCUUACACCUAGUGCAAAUUUCAACAUAUUCAACACAAGAGUUGGAUUUAUUUGCUUCUACUAGUUUAGCAUUUAAAUCAUCGUUUAUGCUCUUUAAGUUAGAAAUAGAAUCAUGGCAUGUUGACACUUCACAAGCAAGCAUUUCAUUCCUCUUAAUUUCUAAUGCAAGGGAUUUUUGAGCCUCUACAAACUUAUCAUGUUCUUCAUAUAACAAAUCCUCUUGCUUUUCUAAAAGUAUAUUCUUUUCAUUCAAGGCAUCAAUUAAUUCAUUAAUUUUGUCUAUCUUAGAUCUAUCUAAGCCCUUGAACAAACAUGAAUAAUCUACUUCAUCCUCAUCACUAGAUUCGUCCUCACUUGAAGAAGCAUAGGUAGAGUUGCGAGUACAUACCUUCUUCUCCCUUGCCAUAAGGCAUGUGUGACGCUCGUUGGGGAAGAGGGUUGAUUUGUUGAAGGCGGUGGCGGCGAGUCCUUCAUUGUCGGAGUCGGAGGAGGAGCAGUCCGAGUCCCACUCUUUGCCUAGAUGCGCCUCGCCCUUGGCCUUCUUGUAAUGCUUCUUCUUUUCCCUCUUGUCCCCUUUUUCCUGGUCACUUUCAUUAUCGGGACAGUUAGCAAUGAAAUGACCGAUCUUACCACAUUUGAAGCAUGAGCGCUUCUCCUUUGUCUUGGUCUUGCUUGGCUGUCCCUUGCGACCUUUAAGCGUCGUCUUGAAGCGCUUAAUGAUGAGGGCCAUCUCCUCAUUAUUUAGCCCGGCCGCCUCAACUUGCGCCACCUUGCUUGGUAGCGCCUCCUUGCUCCUUGUUGCCUUGAGAGCAAUGGGUUGUGGUUUGUUGAUCGGUCCAUCCAAGGCGUCAUCCACGUACCUUGCCUCCUUGAUCAUCAUUCGCCCGCUGACGAAUUUUCCUAAGACUUCUUCGGGCGACAUUUUGGUGUACCUGGGAUUCUCACGAAUAUUAUUCACCAAAUGAGGAUCAAGAACGGUAAAGGACCUUAGCAUUAGUCGGACGACGUCGUGGUCCGUCCAUCGCGUGCUUCCGUAGCUCCUUAUUUUGUUGAUAAGGGUCUUGAGCCGGUUGUAUGUUUGAGUUGGCUCCUCGCCCAUUAUCAUCGCGAACCGUCCAAGCUCGCCCUCCACCAACUCCAUUUUGGUGAGCAAGGUAGCGUCAUUUCCCUCAUGAGAGAUCUUGAGGGUAUCCCAGAUUUGCUUGGCGUUAUCCAAGCCACUCACUUUGUUAUAUUCAUCCCUGCACAAUGAAGCUAGAAGAACAGUAGUAGCUUGUGCAUUCUUAUGGAUUUGCUCAUUAAUGAAUAUAGGACUAUCCGAACUAUUAAAGUGCAUUCCACUAUCUACAAUCUCCCAUAUACUAGGAUGGAGAGAAAAUAGGUGGCUACGCAUUUUGUGGCUCCAAAAUCCGUAGUCCUCCCCAUCAAAGUGUGGGGGCUUGCCGAGUGGAAUGGAAAGCAAAUGUGAAUUUGAACUUUGCGGAAUACGAGAGUAGUCAAAGGAAAAGUUAGAAUUAACCGGUUUCCUUUGCUCGUAGUCGUUGUGGUCGUCGUCCUUUUGGGAAGAGGAAGAUUCGUCGCUGUCGUCGUAGUAGACGAUCUCCUUGAUGCGCCUUGUCUUCUUCUUCUUCCCUUCCUUCCGUCUAUGGCCCGAGCCGGAGUCGGUAGUCUUGUCUUCUUUGGGCUCGUUGACAAAGGAUUCCUUCUCCUUGUCGUUGAUCACGAUUCCCUUCCCCUUAGGAUCCAUCUCUUCGGGCGGUUAGUCCCUUUCUUGAAGAGAACGGCUCUGAUACCAAUUGAGAGCACCUAGAGGGGGGGGUGAAUAGGUGAUCCUACGAAACUUAAACUUAUAGCCACAAAAACUUGGUUAAUCGUUAGCACAAUAAUUGCCAAGUGGCUAGAGAGGAGCCAAGACACAAUAACCACAAGAAAUCAAUCACAGAGAUGACACGGUGGUUAUCCCGUGGUUCGGCCAAGUACAAAACUUGCCUACUCCACGUUGUGGCGUCCCAACGGACGAGAGUUGCACUCAACUCCUCUCAAGUGAUCCAAUGAUCAACUUGAAUACCACGGUGUUCUUCUUUACUUUGAUCCUUUCCCGUUUGUGAGGAAUCUCCACAACUUGGAGUCUCUCGCCCUUACAAUUGAGUUUCACAAAGAAGCACGGAGUAAGGGAGGGAAGCAACACACACAAAUCCACAGCAAAAUGCGCACACACACGGCCAAGAAACGAGCUCAAAAGACUAUCUCAAAGUUCACACUAGAACGAGCUCGAAUCACUGAGAAUGACAAACGAAUGCGCAAAGACUGAGUGUGGAUGAUCAAGAAUGCUCUAAGGUUGCUUUGAUGUCUUCUCCAUGCGCCUAGGGGUCCCUUUUAUAGCCCCAAGGCAGCUAGGAGCCGUUGAGAGCAAAUCUGGAAGGCCAUCCUUGCCUUCUGUCGUCGGGCGCACCGGACAGUCCGGUGCACACCGGACACUGUCCGGUGCCCGAUUUAUUUCCAUAAACAGCGCAGCCGACCGUUGCCGACCGUUGCAGAUCUGGCGCACCGGACAGUCCGGUGCACACCGGACAGUCCGGUGCCUCCUUCCGACCGUUGGCCAGACCACGUGUCGCGCGCAGAUUCCGCGGCCGACCGUUGGCUCACCGGACAGUCCGGUGCACACCGGACAGUCCGGUGAAUUUUAGCCGUACGCCGUCGGCAAAUUCCCGAGAGCGGCGUCUUCAGGUCGAGGCAGCCUGUCGCACCGGACACUGUCCGGUGCACCACCGGACAGUCCGGUGCCCCAGACCGAAACAGCCUGUUGGCUGUACACAGCCAACAUUCUCCUUUUCUUCUUCUCUCUGUUUCUAACACUUAGACAAAUAUAUUAGUACACAAAACCAAUGCACUAAGGCUUAGAAACAUACCUUUACUUGUGAUUUGCACUUUGUUCAUCCAUGGGCAUAGAUUCACAUUUAAGCACUUGUGUUGGCACUUAAUCACCAAAAUACUUAGAAAUGGCCCAAAGGCACAUUUCCCUUUCACUUGUACGUUCCGGGCUUCAGCACUUUGGCGAUGACGAAUGGCCCCUCCCAGGGGGGCGUGAGCUUGUGCCUCCCUCGGGCGUCCUGCCGCAGCCGAAGCACCAGGUCGCCCACCUGGAGGUCUCGGGGUCGGACCCCUCGGGCGUGGUAGCGUCGCAGGGACUGCUGGUACCGCGCCGAGUGUAGUAAGGUCUUGUCCCGAGCCUCUUCCAGCUGGUCCAGCGAGUCUUCUCGGCUAGCUUGGUUGCUUUGAUCGCUGUAGGCCCUCGUCCUCGGGGAGCCGUAUUCCAGGUCAGUGGGUAGGACGGCCUCGGCCCCGUAGACCAGGAAGAACGACGUGAAACCCGUGGCUCGGCUCGGCGUUGUCCUCAGGCUCCAGACCACCGAGGGGAGUUCCUUCAUCCAUCGCUUGCCGAACUUGUUGAGGUCGUUGUAAAUCCGAGGCUUCAGCCCUUGUAGAAUCAUGCCAUUGGCACGCUCUACUUGCCCAUUCAACAUGGGAUGAGCCACGGCGGCCCAGUCCACCCGGAUGUGGUGAUCCUCGCAGAAGUCCAAGAAUUUUCUGCCGGUGAACUGGGUACCGUUGUCGGUGAUGAUGGAGUUCGGGACCCCGAAGCGACGGAUGAUGUUGGUGAAGAACGUCACCGCCUGCUCGGACCUGAUGCUGUUCAGAGGUCGGACCUCGACCCACUUGGAGAAUUUGUCGAUGGCGACCAGCAGGUGCGUGUAGCCCCGGGCGCCUUCUGCAAGGGGCCGACGAGGUCCAGACCCCACACAGCAAAGGGCCAGGUGAUGGGUAUCGUCUGCAGAGCCUGAGCGGGCAGGUGGGUCUGCUUCGCAUAGAAUUGACACCCUUCACAGGUGCGGACAAUUCUAGUGGCGUCAGCCACCGCCGUUGGCCAGUAGAAGCCUUGCCGGAAAGCAUUCCCGACAAGGGCUCGAUGCGCUGCGUGAUGGCCGCAAGCCCCCGAGUGCAUCUCUUGCAGGAGUUCCUGACCUUCGGCGACGGAGAUGCAUCGCUGGAGGAUGCCCGAGGGGCUGCGGUGGUAGAGCUCCUUCUCAUCGCCCAGCAAGACGAACGACUUGGCACGUCGCGCUACCCGCCGAGCCUCGGCUCGGUCGAGGGGUAGCUCUCCUUGGCGGAGAUAUUGCAGGUAUGGGGUCUGCCAAUUUCGAUCAGGCGUGGCCCCGCUCCGCUCCUCCUCGAUGUGCAGUGCCUCGCCCUCGAAGGCCGAGGUUACCUCGGGCUGAACCGAGGGCGCCUUGGGCCGAGCUGAGGGUGCCUCGGGCUGUGCCGAGGGUACCUCGGGCUGGACCGAGGGCGCCUCAGGCUCGGGCGAGUCGUCGAUCUUGACGGAGGGUUGAUGCAGAUCCCGGGAGAAGACGUCCGGGGGAACCGUUGUUCGCCCCGAGGCUAUUCUUGCCAGCUCGUCCGCAGUCUCGUUGUAGCGCCGAGCGAUGUGGUUAAGCUCGAGCCCAUAGAACUUGUCUUCCAGGCGCCGAACCUCAUCGCAGUAGGCCUCCAUCUUCGGGUCGCGGCAGUGGGAGUUCUUCAUGUCGAUGACGAGCUGCGAGUCACCGCGGGCGUCGAGGCGCCUGACACCUAGCUCGAUGGCGAUCCGCAACCCGUUGACCAGAGCCUCGUACUCAGCCACAUUGUUGGACGUCGGGAAAUGGAGGCGUAGCACAUAGCGUAGGUGUUUCCCGAGGGGCGAGAUGAAGAGUAGGCCCGCGCCGGCUCCCGUCUUCAUCAGCGACCCGUCGAAAAACAUGGUCCAAAGCUCCGGUUGGAUCGGAGCCGUCGGUAGCUGGGUGUCGACCCAUUCGGCUACGAAGUCCACCAAUACCUGGGACUUGAUGGCCUUCCGAGGGGCGAACGAGAUUGUCUCGCCCAUGAUUUCCACCGCCCACUUUGCAAUCCUGCCCGAGGCCUCUCGGCACUGGAUGAUCUCCCCCAGGGGGAAGGAUGACACCACAGUUACCGGAUGAGACUCGAAGUAGUGUCGCAACUUCCGUCUCGUCAGCAUCACUGCAUACAGCAGCUUCUGAACUUGUGGGUAGCGGAUCUUGGUUUCGGACAGUACCUCGCUGACGAAGUAAACUGGCCUCUGAACGGGCAAUGCAUGCCCUUCUUCUUGCCUCUCGACCACAAUCGCGGCGCUAACCACCUGAGUGGUCGCGGCGACGUAGACCAAGAGGGCUUCUCCAUCAGUUGGAGGCACCAAGAUAUGCGCCUUUGUGAGGAGCGCCUUCAGGCUCCCGAGGGCUUCCUCGGCCUCAGGGGUCCAAGCGAAACACUCGGCCUUCCUUAAGAGGCGGUACAGAGGCAGACCUCUUUCGCCGAGGCGUGAGAUGAAGCGGCUCAGGGCCGCGAGACAUCCCAUGACCCUCUGUAUGCCUUUUAAGUCCUUGAUGGGCCCCAUGCUGGUGAUGGCUGCAAUCUUCUCCGGGUUGGCUUCGAUGCCCCGCUCGGAGACGAUGAACCCCAAGAGCAUGCCCCGGGGCACCCCGAAGACACACUUCUCGGGAUUGAGCUUGACGCCUUUCGCUUUGAGACAUCGGAAUGUCACUUCAAGGUCGGAGAGGAGGUCGGAAGCUUUCCUCGUCUUGACUACGAUGUCAUCGACGUAGGCUUCGACCGUGCGACCGAUGUGUUCGCCGAACACAUGGUUCAUGCACCGCUGGUACGUCGCGCCCGCAUUCCUCAAACCGAACGGCAUGGUGACAUAGCAGUACAUGCCGAAGGGCGUGAUGAAAGAAGUCACGAGCUGGUCGGACUCUUUCAUCCUGAUUUGGUAAUACCCUGAGUAGGCGUCGAGGAAAGACAGGGUUUCGCACCCAGCAGUGGAAUCCACGAUUUGAUCGAUGCGAGGCAGAGGGUAGGGAACCUUCGGACAUGCUUUGUUGAGACCAGUGUAGUCUACACACAUCCGCCAUUUCCCCCCUUUCUUUCUCACAAGCACAGGGUUGGCAAGCCAUUCGGGAUGGAAUACCUCUUUGAUGAACCCGGCUGCCGUUAGCUUGUGGAUCUCCUCGCCUAUCGCUCUGCGCUUCUCCUCGUCGAAUCGGCGCAGAGGCUGCUUGACGGGUCGGGCUCCGGCCCGAAUAUCCAGCGAGGGCUCGGCGACAUCCCUUGGUAUGCCGGGCAUGUCCGAGGGACUCCACGCGAAGACGUCGGCGUUUGCGCGGAGAAAGUCGACGAGCACUGCUUCCUAUUUGGGGUCGAGCCCGGAACCGAUCCGGAUCUGCUUGGAGGCGUCGCCACUGGGGUCGAGGGGGACGGCCUUAACCGUCUCCACUGGCUCGAAGUUGCCGGCAUGACGCUUCACGUCUGGCACCUCUUUGGAGAGGCUUUCCAGGUCGGCAAUGAGGGCCUCGGACUCGGCGAGGGCCUCGGCGUACUCCACGCACUCCACGUCGCAUUCGAAUGCGUGUUUGUACGUGGGGCCGACGGUGAUGACCCCGUUGGGGCCCGACAUCUUGAGCUUCAGGUAGGUGUAGUUGGGGACGGCCAUAAACUUCACGUAGCAUGGCCUCCCCAGUACCGCGUGGUAGGUUCCUCGGAACCCGACCACCUCGAACGUCAGAGUCUCCCUUCGGAAGUUGGAGGGCGUUCCGAAGCAGACGGGAAGGUCGAGUCGUCCGAGGGGCUGGACGCGCUUCCCGGGAAUGAUCCCGUGGAAGGGCGCAGCGCCUGCUCGGACGGAGGACAGAUCGACGCGCAGGAGCCUGAGGGUCUCGGCAUAGAUGAUGUUGAGGCUGCUGCCCCCGUCCAUAAGGACCUUGGUGAGCCUGACGUCGCCGACGACGGGGUCGACGACGAGCGGGUAUUUCCCCGGGCUCGGCACGUGGUCGGGGUGGUCAGCUUGGUCGAAGGUGAUGGGCUCGUCGGACCAGUCUAGGUAGACUGGCGCCGCCACCUUCACCGAGCAGACCUCCCGGCGCUCUCGCUUGCGAUGCCGAGCCGAGGGAUUCGCCGCAUGCCCACUGUAGAUCAUGAAGCAGUCGCGGACCUCAUGGAACUCUCCUGCUUGGUGAUCUUCCUUCUUGUCGUCGUCGCGGGCCCUGCCACCCUCCGCGGGUGGCCCGGCCCUGUGGAAGUGGCGCCGGAGCAUGACGCACUCCUCAAGGGUGUGCUUGACGGGCCCCUGAUGAUAGGGGCACAGAUCCUUGAGCAUCUUGUCGAAGAGGUUGGCACCUCUGGGGGGCUUCCGAGGGUUUUUGUACUCGGCGGCGGCGACAAGGUCCGCGUCGGCGGCGUCGCGUUUCGCUUGCGACUUCUUCUUGCCUUUCUUCUUGGCGCCGCGCGGAGUUGACGCCUCGGGAGCCUCUUCCGAUGGGCGGCCCUGGGGCUGCUUGUCCUUUCGGAAGAUAGCCUCGACCGCCUCCUGGCCAGAGGCAAACUUGGUGGCGAUGUCCAUCAGCUCGCUCGCCCUGGUGGGGGUCUUGCGACCCAACUUACUCACCAGGUCGCGGCAGGUGGUACCGGCAAGGAACGCGCCGAUGACAUCCGAGUCGGUGAUGUUGGGCAGCUCGGUGCGCUGCUUCGAGAAUCGCCGGAUGUAGUCCCGGAGAGACUCUCCCGGCUGCUGCCGGCAGCUUCGGAGGUCCCAGGAAUUCCCAGGGCGCGCGUACGUGCCCUGGAAAUUGCCGGCGAAGGCUUGGACCAGGUCAUCCCAGUUGGAGAUCUGCCCCGGAGGCAGGUGCUCCAACCAGGCGCGAGCGGUGUCGGAGAGGAACAGGGGGAGGUUGCGGAUGAUGAGGUUGUCGUCGUCCGUUCCACCCAGUUGGCAGGCCAGGCGGUAGUCCGCGAGCCACAGUUCCGGUCUCGUUUCCCCCGAGUACUUUGUGAUAGUAGUCGGGGGUCGGAACCGGGUCGGGAACGGUGCCCGUCGGAUGGCCUGGCUGAAGGCCUGCGGACCAGGUGGUUCGGGCGAGGGACUCCGAUCCUCCCCGCUGUCGUAGCGUCCCCCACGCCUGGGGUGGUAACCUCGGCGCACCCUCUCGUCGAGGUGGGCCCGACGGUCGCGAUGAUGGUGCUCGUUGCCAAGGUGACCCGGGGCCGCGGGCGCGGUGUUGCGCGUGCGCCCGGUGUAGACCGAGGCUUCCCGCAUGAAUCGGGAAGUCGCGGCAUGAGGUUCCGAGGGGUAUCCCUGCCUUCGGGAGGCAGAGCUCUCGGCCCGUCGGACCACAGCGCCUUCCAGGAGAUUCUUGAGCUCUCCCUGGAUUCGCCGACCCUCGGUGGUUGAUGGCUCCGGCAUCGCGCGGAGAAGCAUCGCUGCUGCAGCCAGGUUAUGACCGACCCCACUGGAUGCGGAUGGCGGCCUGACCCUGACGUCGUCGGCGACGCGGUGCUGGAGACCCUGGGGCAGGUGACGUAUUUCUCCGGCCGGGGGUUGGCCCGCCCAUGCCUGCCCGACGUCCCGGCGGAUCGGCUCAAGCGCUCCUGCUCCCUCGUCGAGCCUGGCCUGUGCCCCUCGGACUUGCUCGAGCUGUGGGUCGUGACCCCCCGCCAGAACGGGGACCACAGCUAGCUCCCGUGGGAUGUCAGCGCGAGGCACCGGCCUAGGGAGAUCACCGUCCUCCGGCAUGCCGAGAUGAUUGCCUUCAGAGGGAUCCCCUAGCUCGACGUGGAAACAUUCGCGGCUUGGGCCGCAGUCCUCGUCGUCGAGGCUGCGGCUACCGUCGGAACAGUCGGAGAGGCAGUAGUCACAUGCGGUCAUGAAGUCCCGCAUGGCACUGGGGUUGCCGAAUCCAUAGAAAUCCCAACAGAUGUUGAGGUCGUCAUCUUCCUCGGACCCAGAGGGCCCGUAGGUCGAGACGUCCGUCAGCCGGUCCCAAGGCGACCGCAUGCGAAACCCCAGAGGGGUUGUACUCGCCUCUACGAGAGCGCCCGCCAAAGCAAGGUCGCUAGGCGGGUUGAGGCUGAGUCCAAAUGACGUAGGAUGGGAAUCGGUCGGUACCUUUCGGUCGACGAGCAGUGACAUAGUCACGUCGGGGACUGAUUGCACCGUCGUCUCAGGUACGAGGGCGACGUCCUCCAAGCUCUCCGCGAGCGCACUGGCGUCGUCCGCUUGCUCGAGAUUGGCGUGUCGCGGGGAGACGGCGCUCGCCUUCGUCUCAAACGCGAGGUCGACGCCCGACGCGCCCCCCGUUGGGGCGCUGGGGACGUCGACUCGCUCGACAGCCGACGAGGCGCGGCCUCCCGCUUGGCCUUGGUUGCCCCGCCUCCUCCUCCGUUGGCGGGGGAGAGGACGGGGCGAGCUCGAAUGUUGUUCUUCUACCACGCGGGGAAGACAUCGUCGAUUCCGCCGCCGGCGGGCGGGCUGUCGGCCGUCAUUGUCGUUGUCGCGCGGCGGUGGAAGGAGUAUCAUGUCGUAGCUGCCGUCGAAGGACAUGAACUCAAGACUCCCGAAACGGAGCACCGUCCCGGGUCGGAGAGGUUGCUGGAGACUGCCCAUCUGGAGCUUGACGGGAAGCUGUUCGUCAACACGCAGCAGGCCCCUACCUGGCGCGCCAACUGUCGGCGUUUCGAGACCGGGGGGUCCCUAAGCCGACGAGUGAAUGUCGCCGCGUGCCCCAGCCCAGAUGGGUCGACGCGAGGCCGAGCGCGAAGGGGGGAAGUGAGGUGGCCGGAGAUGGGCGUGAGAGAGGUGGAAAUCCCGCGGCCUUCGUGUUCGUCCCGCGCCCAGGUCGGGUGCGCUUGCAGUAGGGGGUUACAAGCGUCCACGCAGGGGAGGGAGCGAGCGGCCUCACGCGAGCGCCUGUCUCGUCCUCGUCCCCGCGCGGCCAACCCUCUCUAAGAGGGCCCUGGUCCUUCCUUUUAUAGGCGUAAGGAGAGGAUCCAAGUGUACAAUGGGGGUGUAGCGGAGUGCUACGUGUCUAGCGGGGGAGAGCUAGCGCCCUAAGUACAUGCCGAUGUGGCAGCCGGAGAGAUUUUGGCACCCAGCUGGUGUGAUGUCGUGGCCGUCGGAGGAGCGACGGAGCCUGGCGGAGGGACAGCUGUCGGAGCGGUUGAGUCCUUGCUGACGUCCUCCUGCUUCCGUAAGAGAGCUGAGAGCCGCCGUCGUCACAGAGCAUGCGGGGCGCCAUCAUUGCCUAUCUGGCGGAGCUAGCCAGAUGAGACACCGGUCUUGUUCUCUGCGGCCCGAGUCAGCUCGGGGUAGGGUGAUGAUGGCGCUUCCUGUUGACGUGGCUGGCCUGCGCCCUAGGUUGGGCGAUGUGGAGGCUCCUCCGAAGCCGAGGUCGAGUCUGUCUUCCAUGGCCGAGGCCGAGGCCGAGCUCCUGGGUCGGGCGAGGCGGGGGUCGUCGGCAGAGGCUAGGGCGGAGUCCGAGCCCUGGGGUCGGGCGAAGCGGAGUUCGUCGUCUUCCGGGACUGAGCCCGAGUCCGAGCCCUGGGUCGGGCAGAGCGGAGUUCGCCGUCUUCCGGGACUUAACCCGAGUCCGAGCCCUGGGUCGGGCGGAGCGGAGUUCGUCGUCUUCUGGGACUUAGCCCGAGUCCGAGCCCUGGGGUCGGGCGGAGCGGAGUUCGUCGUCUUCUGGGACUUAGCCCGAGUCCGAGCCCUGGGUCGGGCGGAGCGGAGUUCGCCGUCUUCCGGGACUUAGCCCGAGUCCGAGCCCUGGGUCGGGCGGAGCGGAGUUCGCCGUCUUCCGGGACUUAGCCCGAGUCCGAGCCCUGGGUCAGGCGAAGCAGAGCUUCCUAUGGUGCCUUUGGCAGGGCCUGACUGCCUGUCAGUCUCAUUCUGUCAAGUGGCACUGCAGUCGGAGUGGCGCAGGCGGCGCUGUCCUUCUGUCAGGCCGGUCAGUGGAGCGGUGAAGUGACGGCGGUCACUUCGGCUCUGCCGGGGGGCGCGCGUCAGGAUAAAGGUGUCAGGCCACCUUUGCGUUAAAUGCUCCUGCGAUUCGGUCGGUUGGUGCGGCGAUUUGGUCAGGGUUGCUUCUUAGCGAAGGCAGGGCCUCGGGCGAGCCGGAGAUGUGUCCGCCGUUGGAGGGGGGCCUCGGGCGAGACGGAAACCCUCUAGGGUCGGCUGCCCUUGUCCGAGGCUAGGCUCGGGCGAGGCAUGAUCGAGUCGCUCGAAUGGACUGAUCCCUGACUUAAUCGCACCCAUCAGGCCUUUGCAGCUUUAUGCUGAUGGGGGUUACCAGCUGAGAAUUAGGAGUCUUGAGGGUACCCCUAAUUAUGGUCCCCGACAGGAACUGACGGACACGUCGACCUCAACAAAGGAGGUAAGUCCGAUCAAAAAACAUACCGGUCUAUGAUAGGUUCCUUGCUUUACUUAUGUGCCAGUAGACCAGAUAUUAUGCUUAGUGUAUGCAUGUGUGCUAGAUUUCAAUCCGAUCCAAGGGAGUGUCACUUAGUGGCAGUGAAGCGAAUUCUUAGAUAUUUAGUCGCUACGCCUUGCUUCGGGAUCUGGUAUCCAAAGGGGUCUACCUUUGACUUAAUUGGAUAUUCAGACUCCGAUUAUGCUGGAUGUAAGGUUGAUAGGAAGAGUACAUCAGGGACGUGCCAAUUCUUAGGAAGGUCCCUGGUGUCUUGGAGUUCUAAGAAACAAACUUCUGUUGCCCUAUCCACCGCUGAGGCCGAGUAUGUUGUCGCAGGACAGUGUUGCGCGCAACUACUUUGGAUGAGGCAAACCCUCCGGGACUUUGGCUACAAUCUGAGCAAAGUCCCACUCCUAUGUGAUAAUGAGAGUGCUAUCCGCAUGGCGGAUAAUCCUAUUGAACACAGCCGCACAAAGCACAUAGACAUCCAGCAUCACUUUCUGAGAGACCACCAGCAAAAGGGAGAUAUCGAAGUGUUUUAUGUUAGCACCGAGAACCAGCUAGCCGAUAUCUUUACCAAGCCUCUAGAUGAGUCAACCUUUUGCAGGCUGCGUAGUGACCUAAAUGUCUUAGAUUCGCGUAACUUGGAUUGACUUAUAACAUACAUGUGUUUUAUGCCUUGAUCAUGUUCCUUAUGCAUUUUGUUUAUUUAUGGUGCUCAAGUUGUACAAGCACUCCCCGGACCUCACAAGUCCGUGUGCAAGUGAUGCACAUAUUUAGGGGGAGAUGUGCUACAACUUGACCCUUUGAGACUAACCAUGUGUUUGAGCUUGCUUGAUUUAGUCUCAAAGGUGGAUUGAAAGGGAAAGAUGGACUUGGACCAUGAAAGACUUCCACUGCUCUCCGAUGAGAGGGUAACUAACUCCAAGUUCAUUUACAUGCUCUUAUUGCCUCUUUACUCUAAGUUGAAGAUUUUGGUGAGGUAAUGGGGUUUAAGGGCCAAGAUUGAUCUCGUUUUGGUGCUUGAUGCCAAAACGGGGAGAAAAUAAGGCCAAAGCAAGAAAUGGAUCAGCUGCCACUUGAGAAUUUUGAAAAUAGUAGAGUUAGAGUUUUUGUUUUGUCAAAAACCUCUUAAUGUCUCUUCUUAUCAAAAGUUGGUCUCUUGUGGGGAGAAUGGUUGAUUAUGGGAAAAAGGGGGAGUUUUUGAAUCAUUGAUCAAUUUCUCUUGGAAUACCUUUCUCUAUGCCUCAACAAGUGAAUUUGACUUAGAGAUAGGAAAUUGAGUUUGAUUUGCAAAAACAAACCAAGUGGUGGCAAAGGAUGAUCCAAAUAUGCCAAAUUUGAAUCAAAACAAAUUUGUGUUCUCAUUUGCAUUGAUGUUGCACUUCUAUAUGUUGCUUUUUGUUGUGUUGGCAUAAAUCACCAAAAAGGGGGAGAUUGAAAGGGAAAUGUGCCCUUGGGCCAUUUCUAAGGAUUUUGGUGAUUAAGUUCAACACAAAUGGUUUAAGUGUUAAACUGUGCCAAGUUGUGAAUGAAGUGCAAAUCAACACAAAGGUAUGAUUCUAGACUUAGUACAUUAGUUUUUAUGUACUAACAUAUUUGUCUAAGUGCUAGAAUCAGAGAAAAGACAAAAGGAAAAUGUCUUGGCUGAAGCAGCCAAGACUCUGCUCUGUCUGGGUGUACCGGACUGUCCGGUGGUGCACCGGACAGUGUCCGGUGCGCCAGGCUGGUGCUGGUCAACUGGCCGCUCUCGGGAACUCGAUGGCGGCGUACGGCUAUAAUUCACCAGACUGUCCGGUGGUGCACCGGACUGUCCGGUGAGCCAACGGUCGACCGCGCAAUCCGCUCGUGACGCGUGGCCGAGCCAACGGUCUGAUGGGAGCACCGGACUGUCCGGUGUGCACCGGACAGUGUCCGAUGCGCCAACGGCUCCAAAUCGUCAACGGUCGGCUGCGCAAGAAUAGGAAAGAAAUCUGCACCGGACAGUGUCCGGUGGUGCACCGGACUGUCCGGUGCACCAAUCGACAGAAGGCAAGAAUUGCCUUCCUGGAUUGCUCUCAACGGCUCCUAGCUGCCUUGGGGCUAUAAAAGGGGUCCCUAGGCGCAUGAAGGAGAACACCAAGCAUUCUUUGAUCAUCUCUUAGCACCAAGACAUCUCUCUAGCGCAUUUGAUUCGUUGUGAUAGCAAUUUGAGCUCCUCUUGAGUUGAGAACUCCGUGUGUGACCUUAGAGCUCAAGUUGUGACUUGUGUGCGUGUUUGUGCUCGUGCUUUGAGACUUGUGUGUGUUGCUCUUCCCACUCUUACAUCUGUGCUUCUUUGUGAUCAUCUCAUUGUAAGGGCGAGAGGCUCCAAGUUGUGGAGAUUCCUCGCAAACGGGAAAGAGUAAGGAAAGAAGAACACCGUGGUAUUCAAGUUGAUCAUUGGAUCACUUGAAAGGAGUUGAGUGCAACUCUCGUACAUUAGGACGCCACAACGUGGACUAGGCAAGUAUUGUACUUGGCCGAACCACGGGAUAAAUCCUUGUGUCUCUUGUGCUUGUUCUCACUGUGUCAAUUGUGGUUCACAAGAGCUCUCCUUAGCCACUUGAUUUCAUUGUGCUAACACUUAAUCAAGUUUGUGGCUUUAAGUUUCAAGUUUUUACAGGAUCACCUAUUCACCCCCCCUCUAGGUGCUCUCACUUGCGCGCAAACAUAAAUCUCUGGAUCUCUAUUGGUAGUGGCAGCGCCUUGUUCAUGCGAUGGAAUGUGAGAUGAUAUAGGGCAUGAGCACGUAGGUCUCGAGAAUUGUCCUGCAAUACAAGCAUAGCAUUAAUUAUACACGUAUAUAGCUAACAUGUACAACGAUGGCAACCGGAAGAUAAAUAUUUAGCAUAAUCACUUACUGGUUGAGUGUAAGAAGUGAUGACACCUGAAUUGUGAUCAUAAUACUUCAUGUAACUCAUUACAUAAAAGCCACAGUCGUUUGACCCUAUUCUCAUUGUUGGCAAUUUGAUGGCAUAUCCAUUGGAAAGUUACCAAAUUUGGGGAAGGAUGCAUUGGGGCAAACAUGUUGUAACACUUUGCUCAACCUACUCAUUAUAACCCUAGCCCAUGGGAAUUUCCUUCCACCUAAGGGCUUGUUCGGUUAGCUCUCAAUCCAUGUGGAUUGAGUGGGAUUGGAUGGGUUUGAAUCCCAAACAAGUCAAACUUCUUAAGAAUUUUUUCCAAUCCCAUCCAAUCCAUGUGUAUUGGGAAUAACCGAACAAAGCCUAAAUAGAUUGGGUCAUAAUGGUAGUCCUUCCAUGUGGUGCCACCGAGUUCUAUACCAUACGAAUUCGAAUCUAAAAUGUGUAUACACCGAUGUUGUAGGUUGAUUACAUACAGUGUCCAAUGUCCCCUACUAAGCAUAGGUACCAAUAUCUGUUGAUGAAAAAAUGUAAAUAAGUAACAUGUUGCUGUUACAAUGCCAUGAUGAGUAAAAAGUACAGUUAAUAUAAUAAUGAACCUUUGAAAAAAGAAUACUGAGGCUUACCGACUUGCAUUUAUCCAGAUUUACCAACGAAGGCAGUGUGUUAUGUAAGCAAUUUUGUAACACAUUUUGAUCAAACGACUGAGGAUUCUUACUAUGAUGUUCCUGCUCUUCAAAAUUUAGCAGAGCCUAGAAACAACAUAGAGAGUGUGUAAGUAUAUUCUGUGAAUAAUUACAAUAACUGUGAAGAAGAACAUACCCCAACAUUGACAUCAAGUAAUAAUCUAUUAGAAGUCAUAGUUCGACGAUGAUUUUUGGAAUCGUCACGAACACACUCAAUGAAGCACUGCAUGAAGACAUUCUCAAGACACUUCCCCUCUACGAAAGAUUCAUAAAUAUCGAGACAGUUUCCACUGUAUUCACCGUAAUCUAUGACAACCUUGUAUGAAGAAUAUAGUUAUAUAUUCAUAUUACAUACAUGAAACAAACUAAUAAAUACGGUCUUCGUAAUUUGUGUAACGUGUACCUGCUUUGGUCAAUGUCCUUGGAACAGAGUAAAUCUCACAGAGCACGAACGCAAUCAAGCUCUGUAAGGAGUGGAGCAGUUCCAGAAAGUGUUGUCCCUUUUAGUGUAUCAUCCUGAGAUGCAACAUGGUUAUAAGUGUUUGAACAUUAGAAUAAUUAGUUUAAUGGCAUAAAGUGCAUUAUAGAAGAUGUAUGUUAUUAUACUGACAUGAGGCAUUGGGGUCUGAUCAAAGACUGGUCCACUGUCAUUGUGUUCCAUUUCAUCUGUUGCCAUUUCACCUCUCUACACAAAGGUAUAUGAUUAGUAAAAUUAUGUAAUAUGUAUUGUACUCAUGUAAUCGUAAAAUGGAAUUAUAACAUGAGACAAGGAUUGCUAAACAAACAUUUUUUGCGGUGUCACGUCAAAUUUCGGCAAACGGGUGCAAGCUGGUGUGGGUUGAGGUGUGAUAUUUGUGUUCCUCAACAUGUUGUUUCGAACAUCAAAGCAGAAAUCCUGUUGACAAAUAGUGUGGUUCGUAUCCAGCUAAAAAGAAAUAUGCAAACAAUGUACGUAUGAUGCGUAAAAUAGCUCAUGGGGUCGGAUAUAUUACCUGAUGUCCUGUAUCAACGUCUGCUUCAUCAGGACAAGUCUCCAGUACUCUACGAACAUGCUGUUGUCUUUCAUAAAUUUCUUCAAACUGAGUACCACCCAGCUGGGUCUCAAGCUGCGAUGCUUGGGAUGAUAGAUCCGGUGUGGGUUGGGUGGCAUGGAUAGUGUGUCCUUAUACAAAAUUAUAUUGAAAAUAAUGUAUGUCAAAACUUGCAUUAUAGAUCAAAUGUUGCUGCAUAUACUAAAAAUAACAAAAUGUUGUUUGUUGUACAUAUAAGAAAAACCCUAUGCACAUGUAGUCUGUGUAAGGUUCUGAAUGUAUGAAAAGUGAUAAUUAUAUGACUGGCCUACUGAAUCAGCCGAAUUCCUCGAUUGUUGUGGCUCAUCUGUCUCGUUUUCUAAAUUAUCAGACUCGGCACGUAGUACCUCGUCGAUCAGCUCUAUAAAGUUGUCUGCUAUGUCAUAUUGCUUCUCAAUAAUUCUAUCAAUGCUGACUUUUAUGGCUAAGCAUGCCUUGUCAACAUCCAAGUCAUAUGCAACAAGUUUCUCUGUGAAUUUAGAUCGAUGACGAGGUGGGAGCUCGUUGAUCUUACUUGACAUCAUCUCCUUGAUCGAUGGAAGUUGGAUGUUAAAAGUGGGCCGAGGAGUAGGGGCAGGGAGCGGUGCAUCAAAAAUGUUGGUCCUGCACUUCAGCUGGUUGUUCAACAAAAAUAAUAAGAAUCCCUCACCACACUCAUAUUCCAUUUGUUCCAUAAAUCUUAAAUAGAUGUAUAUAAUACAACAAAAACUUGCCUCGGAUUGGCGAUCGAGCUUAGGUACAACUGAAUAGCAUGUCUCGGUCGAGCUUCGAAACUAAAAUAUAAAAUUUAAGUGAAAGUUGAACUGGACCAUGAGUUUGUAAUGCAAACAAUGGUACUCAAAACAAAGCACAUAUAUUUGACAUAAAAUUUGUCAUAAAAUACACUUGGUUAAAUAUGAAUAACUUACUUCACAAUAUCCGAAAGGUUCGGCCCCAUGGCGUGCCUUCCUCUUGUCGGCUUUAGUCAAAGCUUUUAUGAUAUUCUUAUCAAAGAAUUUUAUGCGAGGUGUACCAAGCUUAUUUUGAGGGGCUGAGGUUGCAUGCAGGUGAUCCAAGUAAUACAACUACAUAAAAAAUUUCAAUGUGCAAUGGAUGUGUAAGUAAACAUAACAAACAUCAUAAAACAUGUUAUAUCAUGCCCCACAAUGAGCAACCAAAAUUGCAAUAUAUGUACAUAAGAGAAACUCUAUACUUACAAGGACAACAAUUGAGCAUCCGUAUAUAGUCAUUGAGACGUUUGUGGUGCUUCAGUUAUGCCACUUGUUCGCGGCUUCACAAAGAUCAUUAAAAAUAAGCUGGCACCAAUCGGUCUCGUGGAAACGGUGCAUUUCUUCUGUCAGAAGCACUUCAUGGUUUGUUAUGCCCCAGCUAGCAGUUGGAAACAAAAGACGGUUGAAUAAGAUGAGGAAGAAACAUUUGAUGGUAAGGUCAUCAUCCUCGCCUUUCCUUAAAUGAUCAUGUAGCAAUGUCACAUUGAACUCGUCUUUAGCCAAACCAAGCUCUGCCCUCAAGUUGCUUGCUGCAACUGCUUCGUCAAUCCCCAAUGGUUUUCCACCGCCAUGAUUUGGUACACCAAGGAUAAGAUGCACAAUGUCCUUUGUGAUUUUUAGUUCCUUUCCUGGACCAGGACGAAUUGUCAUGUCCUUGUGGUCAAGCUUGUCCAUCAACCAUUGAAUGUGUGAUCUACUACACAGCGCAUCUACUGUCAUAUCAAGAAUGUUAGAGAAACCUUUACGUCUUAUGGCCUGACGUUGUCCUUCAUUCAAUAUGUUAAUGCUUGCAAUGACAUCUUAUGGGUUGCACCGGACAUUGAGCCUCUGUUAUAAAAUAUAGAACUGGAAACAAUUUUGUUAUUAUCAAAAACAAAAUAAUAUUCAGAAGCUUACGAAUAGGAAAUUGUUUGUUGAGUAUGCAUAAAACUAACCUGUCGGGGAAGAUCCUCAGCUUUUAUCCUCUUUGUCACAACUUUUCUUAGAACUCUUGUAUGGCUUUUAGAAACAUUACGCUUCUUAACAGCUGGCAUGAAGUCAUCUUCAUCAGAAUCCAGUUGUAUUGUUUCAUUGAAGUUUGACUGUCAACAUUUGGAGGAUUUCCCACUUCUGUAGAUGGAUUAGACUAUUCUGCGCACGGAAUGUCAACACUGAAACACUCCUGGCUUGAUUGAAUUGUUAUACGUUUGGGAUUAUUCGGAGGACGGUCCACGUGCUUCAUUUUUUAAAGUCAAAACUGUAUGCAUAAUACACAAUACUGUAAACAUUAAUCUGUUGAAUAUGCAGAUGUAUUGAUUGUGUGGUGAUUGAAUCAAUGAACCUAAUUGUUUUAAAUACCAAGCAUAAAAACAAUCUGUAAAAUUUUGCAUGGUACUUAUAAUAUGUUUCAGUAAACAUCUGAAUGUACUGUUCUCUAGUUACACUUGCAUACAUAUAAUGUCAUGUUCUAUCAUCAUAAACAUCUGAAUAUGUUUCAAUAAAAAUAGACCUUGUUGUAACCAAUAAUGUAUUAACUAUAAACAUCUGGAAUAAAUAAAUGUAUGCACUAAACAUAUAUGAAAUUUUGAAUAAAUCAUAUACUCUAUCAAAAACAAAUAAUUGACUGCUCCUUUACUAAAAACAGUUGCAUACAUGUUCUGUCCUGUUCUACAAUCAUAAAAAUCUGAAUAUGUUUCAAUAAAACAAAACUUGUUGUAAACAGUAAUGUAUUGACUAUAGACUAAUGAAUACAUAAAUUAAUGCAUAUCACUAACCAUAUAAGAAAUUCUGAAUAAAUAAUAUACUCUACCAAAAACAACUAAUUGACUGCUCCUUUACAAAAAUCACUUGCAUACAUGUUCUGCCCUGUUUUAUAAUCAUAACAAACUGAAUAUAUUUGAACAAAACAAAACUUACUGUAAACAUUAAUGUAUUAACUGUGAACUAAUGGAAUAAAUAAUGUCCUGUUUUAUAAUCAUAAAAAACUGGAUAUGAUUCAAUAAAACAAUACAUGUUGUAAACAAUAAUGUAUUAACUAUAAACUAAUGGAAUAAAUAAAUGUAUGCAGUCACUAAAAAUAUAUGAACUUUUGAAUGAAUCAUAUACUCUACAAAAAACAACUAGUUGACCGCUCCAUUACCACUUGAACAUCAUCUAUGUAAAAAAUAACUUUAACUGAGAUGCAUAAACAUGUAUUCUAAUGUGCGUAACCACCUGUGUAAAUGUGCGUAAAUGUAUUAAUGCAACUGCAUAAAUAUUUGUCACCUGCCGUAAUCAUUAGAAUGCAGUAUGAAAAAAACAACACAUUUGUACUUCAGGAGAUCGAUUUACCUUUUUAGGGUUUGCUAACUUUGUUGACGGUCGACGACGAUCCCAGGUAAUGCGGCAAGCUAGGGUUCGGAAGAACCCACCGUAGAUGGUUGGGGAAGGGCUACCCGUUGGAGCGGCACCCGUUGACGGCGGAGAAUGUGGAACGACGACGGAGAAUGUGGAAGCAGUCGCAUCGGCGGAGAAACUAGGGUUUUCUCCGGUCUGGUCUCUCAUCUCAAGUUGCAGACGCGAGGAAAGAGGAGCUCAGAUUGGGGUCGACAAGGAGGCGCCACUCUCUCACCGAUUGCGCCUGGAUCGACUGCGAGCGACGGAUGGAGCGGAGUCGUCGGAGAGGGCGGAGUCGGCGGAGAGACCUGGAGUCGCGCGGAGAGGGUUGGAGUUUUGCGGUGGGCCGGUGGUGUAGGCAGUUAUGGAAACUGAGACCGGGAGAAGAAAGAGGAGCUAGUGGCGGCAGCACGUCAUUAUAUAUGGAAUCUGAAAAGUCCGGUCGGCUGUCAGUGCACGUGCGUUCAUAUUUGGUUGGGGCUUCUUGUAGCUAAAUAGAGUCUAGGGCUCUAUAUAUAUAUAUAUAUAUAUAUAUAUAUAUAUAUAUAUAUAUAUAUAUAUAUAUAUAUAUAUAUAUAUAUAUAUAUAUAUAUAUAUAUAUAUAUAUGCACUUUUAUUAGAACUUGAGCGUAGAUUUCUAUUAGGAAUAGGACUGCUACUCGAAUGUAUUAGGCUUGUUCGGUUAGAGCAAUCCAAAAAGGGAUUAGAGAGAAUUAAAUUAUCUCUUAGUUAAAAUUGAAUAGAAAGGAAUUUAAUCCCUUCUGAUUCUCUUCUGAAUCAGCAUUGCAAGAACAGAUGGAUGUCGAUGUUUAUGGUAGCCUGCUCAGUCAGAAUAGCUUUGACGCCCGUGCGGACACGUUGCUGUUGAACAGCACAGCGGUUGAUCAACAUCAGCAGCAGCAGAUAGGUGCUGCAGAAGCGCCGUGCAAUCAGUUUGUGUGUAGGGUUUACAUUUUGUGUGUAGGGUUUACCACCAAAAAACCUUCAGUUUUGGUGCACUAAAAUACAAGGCCUUUCAUCUCUUACACCAGCAAGCACCUCAUCCGCCAACAACGAAUCCAAUUGGUACUAGAGAACAAGCAAUCACCUUUUAACUGGUAAUAGAGCAAGGAGAUGAACAAGUCCUCGAGCUCAAUCCAUAGUGUACAAAUGUAGCUCAUCAUCCGCCAACAACGAAUCUCCAGAAACACUCGGACUGUAGCAGACACGUUUUGACUGUACGUAGCAGAGAAUUAAGACCUAUUUUGACUGUAGUACACACAUAACUGGAACUGGUUCCAUGGUGAACUUGUCUGCCACACCAUCCACAAGCACAAGUGCAGGAAAAUGAACUAUCUUCUCUAUUGCAUUGGCUGGAGUAUUUAUACUAAUUGCCACAUGAAUGAUAUAGCAAUUGUGCACAUGAAAACAAAAGCCCUAGCCACAGUUAUCACUUCAUUCUGUCAGAGAAAUACAUAUUGGCAAUUGUGCACAACCAAGGAAUGAAUGAUAUAGCAACUGAAAUAGCGGAGCAAUACAAGCGGCAAAAACAGGGAACCGCGGGGACGGCAGCAUUAACGACGGAUUGGCUUCUGACUUGAGCCUGAAUUCUGGAGCUUCAAGAGAAGAGGGGUGACGUCAAGGUGCCUGUUUAGAACAUGAAAUGUUUUAAAUAUUGAGAAACUCAUCAAUUGUGCUGGAAAAAAUGAAUUAGUAGAACCUGUACCUUCUCAUUUAUUUCAAAGUGGCAACUCUAAGGAAGCCAGUGCGGUAUUUGUAGAAAGCUCUUCCAACGAACGUGCGAAAUCUUUGGCCAGCUUUCUCCAUCAGGUUCUUGGCAGUUCUUCUUCAAGACGGGACAAUCCCAUAUAGUUAUGCGCUGGAGGGAGGAUGGCAGAUCUGGUAAAGAUGCUAUGUUGGGGCAACGCCCUAUAUGAAGACUCUCCAGACUUGAGAGAGAUUUUAGAUUUCCUGGCAGGGACUCCGUUUCACAACGCAAAAACUGCAGGCACUUGACAGAUGACAGAUUUGCAGGAUCUUCAAACGAAAUCGACGGCUCCUUGCAAUCUAAAAGAUAAAGAUUCAGUGGGACCCUAAACCCUUCAGCCAUGAGCAUGUGGUUGAGCAAUACGGAGCUACUAACGGUGAGCGAUACCCGGACACGAAACUGUGAGAUGCACUUUGCAGUGAGGUUUGGAACGUCUACUAGUUGUAGGAACUUAAGGCGCAGGCAAGACAGGCCUUCAACAAGGUAAAGAUCGGAGAGACCAACUAGAUGUAAUGAUUGAAGCGAGGUCAUGUGGCCAAUCGACAAGGAUGGGGAGCUUCUGCAGCUAUCAAUGGAAAGGUAUUUAAGGUCCAGCAGGCCGUUAAUGAAUGAAUCAGCUGAAAGAAUGCAGCCACGGAUGUUGAGGUAUCUAUCAAGGUUCGACGGAACUAGUUCUGCUCCACGUGCUAGCUCUAAAGAAGGACAAUCCCAACAGUUAAUAAAGGAAAGAGAUGGAGCAGCACGUAGGCCACCCAGUGAUCUGAGACACAAACAACCACUUACAAACAACCUGUCAAGCUUUGCUAAAUGCUCAAACACUCCUUUUGUUGGAAGUGUAGUUAAUUCCAUAUUAUAUUUCAAUUCUAAAUUCCUCAGUGAAGUAAGGCCACCAAGGCAAAUAGCUAAAGCUUCAUUUGUAAUACUGCAUGAACAAAGAGAAAGACUACAGAGUCCUGACGGUAGAACUAGUGGCAUCUCCAUGGCCCUCCCAUAAAUGAAACUUAUCCUCUGCUCAUGGCAAAAGAGCCAUGGUUUGAUGAUGUUUUCUUUCAUCCAUACCUUUUCUCCUCCUUCCUCUAGACCACUUUCAAUGAUUUGGAGGUGCUUUGAUAUAUCAUCAUCCAUUAGUGUCAUAAUAAUCUGCUUCAGAGAUGAACAGUCCUCUGAUAGCGCUCUCCUAAUACAUGAACCUGAAUCCACAUCCCACAUCAAUGCAAGUUUUGAUGUCAGGUUGUCUAUCUUCAUUACAUUUUCCUCCAAGCCAUGUUGUCCUAGCUCAUUGUUGGUGAUAAACAUAAGCAGUGGACACUUGUGAAUUGACAACUCUGUAAGGCCUGCUGGAAGAUAAGAUAGUUCCUUCAAAUUUGGAACGUUUUUUAUAUGUAGCCUAGAGCAACGCCGAAGCAGCCUGGCAUCAGGUGGCAGACCUUCUAAUAAACUGCAAUUAUUAAGCUCAAAACAUUCCAAAUUCUUAAAAUAGGAUCGCUCAAGUAACCACCCAGGGUAUGUGUCAGAUUUGUAACCUUCGAUUGUGAGCUUACUCAGUUGGGGUGGUGGUCUUAGACCUUCUAGAAUAUCCAAGUGCAGGAUAUCUGUUGCAUUCUCGGAACUCCACUCAAGUGCCAACUCUUUAAGGCGACGUUUCAGAAAUAGCUUCGACUCUAAGGCUUCAUCCUUUCCAAUGACAUUCUCAAGAUUUUUUACUCUUAAACUGCCACCAAGCUCAUUCAAGUCCCUCAGCUGUCGCAACUCAUACCCUUGCUUCUUUUGCACAGAAAAGACAUAAAUGUGCUGUAGUGAAGUUAGCUUACCUAUGUUCGGAACUUGGUAAUUAGGCCUUUCAUCCACGAAACCAUGAAAGUAAUAUGGGUAUGCUCCUAGAUGUCGCAGCUUACUUAAAUUGCAAAGUUUGUCAGGCAAUCUCUCUACCAUGCAGUUCAACCAAAGUAAUUGUAAGUGGUAGAGAGUACAUAAUGAUCUAGGCAUUUGAGAAAUUAAUGUCCUGACAAGGUUCAAAUACCGGAGGUGCUUUAGCUCACCAAUAGAUUCCGGCAACUUGCUGCUGGUGUAAAAUGACAAAUACAAUACACGCAAUUUUCUUUGGUUGUGUAGCAUUUGAUCAAAAAGAUCACUUGCACCAUCCAUUAGUGGAUUGAUGCAGAUAAUGGUGCGUAAAUGAAGUAGCUUGCAGAUAAUUUUCUUAUGCUUUUGCAUACUCUCAACAUGAACAGAUAGAUAUCGAACAGUGCCUGGUAUUUUUGUAACAUUAUCAUCUUCCAAUCUGAAGCAGUCUUCCCUAGAGAGUGACUCUGCCAAAUCAUGAAGGAUAUCGUGCAUGGUAUAGUAUGAAUAAAGUCUUUCAGGAACCAAUUGGAAGAAAGAUCCAGAGACCAUCUCAGUGAAGUAAUCCAUCCCAACCUCUUCCAAUGUUCUCCUACUCAAAUUGCAUGAACAAACAAAUCCUUCUGCCACCCAAAGUUGAACCAACUCACCACGUCUAUAUCUAUGACCUUUUGGAAACAAGCUGCAAUACAAGAAGCACCUUUGCAGACAUGGAUCUAACUUCUCGUAGCUCCACAACAGAGAUGUCAAGGGAUCACUUAAAUCUCCAAGCUCUAGAGCAGCUUCCCAUUCAUCAAUAUCCUUUUUCCUACACAGCUGAGAACCAAGAACUUUCGCUGCCAAAGGACAUUGUCCAAGCCUUUUAGCAAGCUCCGCUGCAGUAUUUUCCAGAUUCGUGCGUAACAGCUGGUCUUUGAUUUUUGCUCCAGAGAAAGCAUGUUGUUUAAAGAGAGCCAAGAACUCAGUAUCAUCCAUGUUUUCCAAACGAACAACUCGUUCACAGCAAACAGCGGCUGGAAGCAUUUCACGUCGAGAAGUCACCAAAACUCUGCUUCCCGGCUGUUUAGAGACUAAUGGAGCAAGGAGUAGGUCCCACUCUGUCUCACUAUCAGAUUUUUCAAACCAAACAUCAUCCAAGACAAGCAGGAAUUUUUUUGACUGUUGUAGUAUGUCUCGUAGUUUGCACUGGAGAGUAUCGAGAUUAUCGACACGUGGGCACUCCCCCUUUUUUGCGGACUCAAUGAUCUCCCUUGUGUGACGAUGCACAUCAAGUUUGCGCGAGAUACAGAUCCACAUCCUGACAUCAAAGCAUUCUUCAAUCCUCUUGUCAUUAUAGACAUAUUGUGCUAAGGUAGACUUCCCCAUUCCUCCCAAUCCAACAGAAUGGAGCAUACCACCAAAAACCUUCAGUUUUGAUGCACUAAAAUACAAGGCCUUUUCAUCUCCUACACCAGCAAGCACACUUGUAAUCAAUCCAAUUGGUGACAAACAACAAGCAAUCACCUUUUAACUGGUAAUAGAGCAAGUAGAUGAACAAGUCCUCGAGCUCAAUCCAUAGUGUACAAAUGUAGCUCAUCAUCCGCCAACAACGAAUCUCCAGAAACACUCGGACUGUAGCAGACACGUUUUGACUGUACGUAGCAGAGAAUUACGACCUAUUUUGACUGUAGCACACACAUUACUGGAACUGGUUCCAUGGUGAACUUCUCUGCUACACCAUCCACAAGCACAAGUGCAGGAAAAUGAACUAUCUUCUCUAUUGCAUUGCCUGGAGUAUUUAUACUAAUUGCCACAUGAAUGAUAUAGCAAUUGUGCACAUGAAAACAAAAGCCCUGGCCACAGUUAUUACUUCAUUCUGUCAGAGAAAUACAUAUUGGCAAUUGUGCACAACCAAGGAAUGAAUGAUAUAGCAACUGAAAUAGCGGAGCAAUACAAGCGGCAAAAACAGGGAACCGCGGGGACGGCAGCAUUAACGACGGAUUGGCUUCUGACUUGAGCCUCAACUCUGGAGCUUCAAGAGAAGAGGGGUGACGUCAAGGUGCCUGUUUAGAACAUGAAAUGUUUUAAAUAUUGAGAAACUCAUCAAUUGUGCUGGAAAAAAUGAAUUAGUAGAACCUGUACCUUCUCAUUUAUUUCAAAGUGGCAACUCUAAGGAAGCCAGAUCGAUUUUGGUGGAAAGCUCUUCCAACGAACGUGCGAAAUCUUUGGCCAGCUUUCUCCAUCAGGUUCUUGGCAAUUCUUCAUCAAGACGGGGCAAUUCAAUAUAGUUAUGCGCUGGAGGGAGGACGGCAGAUCUGGUAAAGAUGCUAUGUUGGGGCAUUGUUCUAUAGAAAGACUCUCCAGACUUGAGACAGAUUUUAGAUUUCUAGGCAGGGACUCUGUUUCGCAACAUGAAAAGUGCAGGUGCUUGACGGAUGAGAGAUUUGCAGGUUCUUCAAAUGAAACUGACGGCUCCUUGCAAUCUAAAAGAGUAAGAUUUGGUGGGGCUGUAAACCCUUCAGCCAUUAGCAUGUGGUUGAGCAAUACAGAGCUACUAACCCUGAGCGAUUCCUGGACACGAAACUGUGAGAUGCACUUGGCAGUGAGGUUUGCAACAUCUACUAAACUUAGGCGCUUAAGGUGCAGGGAAGACAAGCCUUCAACAAAGCAAAGAUCAGGGAGACCAUUUAGACAUAAUGAUUCAAGGGAGGUCAGGUGGCCAAUCGAUAAGGAUGGGGAGCAUCUGCAGACAUCAAUGGAAAGAUGUUUCAGAUGUGGCAAGCCAUUAAUGAACGAAUCAGCUGCAAGAAUGCAGCCAAGGAUGCUG